rnacentral:lncRNA from 1 species
UGUGCUCUUCCCUCCUUUGCGCCUUCUGGAUCUUCUUUCUCGUGAAGUUUAGGGCUUGAGGUGGGUUUGUCCAAACCCUACACACUAGGUGCUCGAUGUUUUGCCCGAAUUGAUCAGAUUGCCAUUUUUAAUGAUGUUCUCGUUCAUUUCACCUUUUCAAUGCCUUGGCGUGUCGAUCCAUGUUUUCCGAUGGUUUCCUAUCUCAUCUUUUCACCAGGAACGCCUCUCAUCUAAGGUAGUAAGCCUUAUCUUCUAGUUUCUUAUCUAUUGCUUGCUUCCAUUAGGGUCUCUUGUCUCUAGCUAUUAUGUUUGCUUAUGUAUACCCUACCUAUUCCAUCUCUUGCAGCGGUUGAGUCAUGUUUUGGCCAGUUAACAAGUGUCAGUUGAAAUCGGGGCCAAGUUCGCGAGUACGAAUCGAUUGAGGCCAAGCCUCUUGAGUGCCAGCUCACCAUCUAUCUAAGCAGCAUGGCAGUUUGUCUUUGAGUUUCUUGCAAUGACACGUUGCAAGAACGUCAGUGGGCCAGCUAGUGGAGGUGGAGGUACUCUAGGAGAUGAUGGGGGUGGUGAUAGACCCCGUCGCUUCACAGCAGCAGAGAAGGGAAAAAAGGUCCUUGCCAAGAAGAGGAAAGCUAGUGACGGAGAGGUAGAGGUAGCUCGAGCAGUGGCAGCAGCAGCUGAGGCCGCAAAGGUUGGGGGUCAUCGGGGCUCACUUCGGAUUGGAUCUGAGCUCAUGACCGCCCAGUGAUGUGGAGUACUUGUGUUAGAGCAGCAGCAUGGCCCUCCACCAGGCACCAUCAUGAUCGGAGGACGUCAGGUCCAGAUUGAUGUGAGAGAGUUAGUUCAGGAGGAGCCAGCUGAGGAGACAGAGGAGCAGCCAGAGGAGCAGCCCCUUAGGAGGUCGAUUUGAGCUCAUACCUAGGCUGCCUCUAGGCCUGCUACGCAACAUCAGUCACGCCCUCUGGCUAGCUCCUCACCACCAGCUCAUUCUACACCAACUUCCACACCAGCUCGCAUUCAUAAGGACUACACCAAGUUGGCUACUCGUCAAAUAUAGGAGCUUAGGUUCGCAACCUUUCCCAUCUAGCUCCCUCCCACCAGAAAUCACAGAGCUCAUGCCAGAUUCUACAUAGUGGUCUAGGAGGACAUGUAUAUGGCAUAUGUCCACAGUGAGGCUCAGUUUAGAGAGCCGAGAGUGGUUGACCUUGAGGUACUGGGUAACGGUGUUGGACAGGACAUCAGGCCACUCUUGUCAUAUCUUCCAGGUCUUGCUAAGUUCCUAGCUCUACCGGGCAAUUAUGCGGAGGAGUGGGUUCGUGAGUUUUAUGCAUCAGUGUGGGUUGCACUAGACCAUAGCUACAUUCACUACACACUAGCAGGCACAGGUUACAGAGUCACACCUCAGCAUGCUAGAGAGACUUGGGGUCUUACUACUUUAGAGACCAAGAUUCAUGAGCUAUGCUACUCAGGGAUAGAGCCCCUCGAUGUCCUCAUGGUGGUGAGCUACCUUCUAUUGAUUGUAUCUCAACCUGCUACCGCCCACCUUUUACUGAGGGCUCGAGUCGUGUCGUUAGUGGUCUUACCCGUCCUGCACGUAUCUUAGACUUUGUGAUGAGGAAGACCUUGCUACCUAGGCCUGGCUAUCGUGAGGGAUUCACCAGGAUUUAGCAGUGGCUUAUAGCUCACCUAGUGGCUUAGUGAGAGUUUCACAUCUAGGAUCUCAUAGUGUCAGAGAUUGAGGACACAAUUGCUGAGGGAUUCAAGGACUGUCGUCAGUUGCCCUAUGCUCACUGGUUGACUUAUUUGAUUCUUCGGGCUCGUGUAGAUCCUCUCCCACCUCGCAUUCAGAGAGAACUGACAAAUACAGUGACAGUCUUUCCACACUAUGAUCCUAGACAGAUGAUCAGGAUUCAUGUGGACCUACGAGCUCCAGCACCCCCAUAGGCACCACGUGGACGAGCUCCAGCGCCUUCUCCUAGAGCUACACAGAGUACACGGGCUGUACCUUAGACAGAGGAGGAGUAGGACAUAGCCAUUGGAUCAGUUGCAGAGGUUGAGGCAGAGCAAGAGUUUGAGUUUGCCAGUGAUAGCUCAAAUGAUGAUUAUCAGCUACCUAUUCUAGAUCUCCCUCCAAGGCAGCAUGAUCGCGAGGCUGGCAGCACCACCACUACAGACCCUGCCUUAGUUGCUAUACUUGAGAGCAUGAGAGCAGAUCAGUAGAGGGCAGCAGAGGAGCAGGCACGUUGUGAUAGGGAGUAGGUUGCCACCAAUGCAGCACUGCAAGCUAGACAAGAUGAGCUCUAGAGGCAGCUUCUCGCCUUUCAAGAGUAGCAGCUUGCAUUCCAGACCAAACAAACAGCUAUGAUGGUAGCACUGAUGGCAGCGAUCGGGAUUACUCUUCCACAGGUGCAGCUUCUAGGCACUUCCCUAGUCAGGCCACCGACUCUAGCUGGAUAGCCCAAUGGGUUUCAGAGUCAGUCGCAGCAGCCCCUCCAACUUCGUGCUCAGAGUCAGCCUUUUACCACUUGUCACACCCGGUUUUCCAAAGAAUACCAAGAGCUAACUAUAUGUGUGCCUAGGAUGUCCACACGACACAUAUAGCGACAAAUAUGGAGAAUAUCAAGAACAAUGCUUUAUUAUAUAUCGAAACAUAGUUACAACAAGGCUUACAUCUAUUACAAAGCAUGGAGGAAACUAUUCUAUAUCUUCUCUUUGGGUCUCCAUACUCCACAGGGACGGUUGACUGGGGGUACACUUGCCUAGUACUAUGGGAAUGUCUUAGGGAACUCCAUCUUUGCAUCACCACCUAGUACCCAUUUGGGAUUUUUUUAUUGUUGAAUGUAAAGCAAGUGUGAGCGCACCAUACUCAACAAGUAUAACAUGAGGGGAUGCAAGGCUCAAAAGGCUUGACUUGGUUUGACUGCGAUAAGCAUUUUUAGUUGGUCAUAUUUUAUUAUUAGACCUAUGUUGCUAGGUUAUGCUUAAGCUCCCAUGGUGAGAAGUAUAAUAAUUAUUAUCAAGAUUAAUCAUCAACCCAAACCAUCCAUUGAACCAUCUAUCUCGAAAAGGAUCCAGGCUGCUCUUGACCGAGAGAACGGCUGAUAUAUCAGUUUUUAUAACUCUACAGAGUAUGUACAUCUUUACCCAUGAGUUGUGAUUGCCCUUUGCCCGAGGGGGCCAACCUCUUGACUCACUUCCAAGGUAAGUCGGUAGGGAUCACUAUGUAACCUUUCACUAGACACCCUAAUUAGUUAGUGACCGCGAGGUUUUAGCGGCAAGUGUGCAUAGAGACCUCCUCCAAGAGGCACAUGUGAUCGCGGCACUGUACACACCAAGGUAGGAGCAAAACUAUACACCACAAGGCACCCCCCUCUUGCACCUUUCGGUAAUCACUAACAAGCUAGAGACGUACUAGAUACUUGAUAAAGAUCAGAGCCAUGUGAUUCUCAUGGUUGUACUAUAAGUCCUGGGUUGCCGCUUUAAGAUUCAGUCCUUAUGGAGGGCAGACUAGAGCACCCAAAAAGGCCCAAUGCUCUAGCCCCCUUAUAUCCAUGUUGCUAGAAAGCAUCAUUAUAUAUUGAUUCCAUAAUCCAUUAGUCAAGAUUAGCUUUAUAUAGUUGGGUGAUUGCAAGCUAAGCCAAACUAACCAUAUGCAUAACCCAAAGGUAACAAGGAAUACAAGUUAACAAAGGUUCUAGGUAUAGUCCUUAUAGGUUCAUCAUUUUAGACACAUGCAUAUGAAAAGGUGAUUAAAUGGUUAUUGGGUAACAAGGGAACUCAUGUUACACUUGCCUUCCAAUUGCUUGGUAUGCAACUUCCAACUUCUUGAUCAUCCUUGUAGAGCUCCUCUUCUAACGAUAGCAACAACCAUCACAAGCAUCAAAGACAAGCCAAAAAUAGUACAUCAAUCAUUGUAAAACUUCAUAUAAAGGUUUUAAAACACUAGGGCUUGUAACUACGAUCGUUGAGCGCAGAAACAACUAAAACAAAGCUACGGUUUAAAUAUAUGAGAGAUUGAAGGUUUAGUUGGAAGAGGAUUGAUGUUAGAUGUACAUGUUAAAGAUUGGGAGAACAUGUUCAUUAGAAUAGAAAGGGAUCAUGUAUGUAUUAGUCUUAGACACAUGAUCUGAUUUGUGAGAGAAUUAUAUAUUGUCAAGGAUGGGAUCUGUUGUGAGGUGUGUAAUGGGUUACAAGAGAGACUAUGGAUUAGAUUGAUCUAUAUUAUGUCAUAUGGUGUUGAUAUUAUUUGAGUAGAAAUGAGGCCAUUUGAUGUGAGCUAUUAAGGUUGGUAAUUGGAUAGUUGAUAUUCAUGGCUUUGAGGAGGAUAGAUGUAUUGGUUGACCCGGAAACAUGAUUGCAAACACAGGGUGGCAUGGCUGUUUGGACAGUGGGGAAAUGAAUAUUGCGGCCUCAAUAUCUUGGCCAUCAUGGAACACUUAGAUAUGCCAACUUGCAGGGAUAUGUGUUAUGGCAAUUUUCCAAAGUUUUCUUAAGGAUUUGACCAUUUAGAUAGUGGAUCAGUGGGGAACAUGGUGAAACACCGGUGCAGCCAGAACGUGCAUGAUGGCAGAUAGCUGAGAAAUGGAUCACAAAGAAUAGGGCCAUAGCAGUUGUAAUUGGCACUGCAUUUUGUGAGGUUGUAGUGGACUGCAUAGAGUACAUACUAGAAAAAGGGCAAUUUAAUUUGAGCUUUGGCUGGUCGGGAAACACAAUUGCAAAAUGGGGAUGCAUGACUGUUGAGACAGCAGGGCCAGCGAGCGAGGCGACAUUAAUAUCCUCAGUGUCGCAGCUCCCCUGGCGGUGAAAUUUUGUGGAUGUUUGUCCAAGGAUACGAAACACAUUGUGACUGAAGGAGAUGGUCACUGGAGUGAUGAAACAACAAGAACAUGCAUGCCAAUCAGUUGUAGCAUAGCUGCGGGGCAGUAGGAACAACGAGCACAAAAAUGAUUAUGACUCUUUCAUAUUGGACUCUAUAACCAUGGAAUUUUAUGGAAACAUAUGCAGGUAUAUGAAAGAUAUUCUAGCCAAAGGAUUCAUCAAAUGGAUCAAUGGAUAAAUGGGGAACGCCAAAACAAUUUAAUGUUGCACAACAUCUAGGACAGCAGAACAGCGGGUACUAAAAUGAUGGUAUCUCUUUCAUCUUUGAACUUAUGGUGACAAAACUUUGCAGAAGCGUGCAUAGAUAUAUUAUGCACCUGUGGGUUAAAGGGAAUGAUAAACCGAAAGGUCGAUUUCUAGAAACAUGUAUGACAAUGGGUCAUGCAGUGAUUGCUAGCAAGGGACAGCAGCGUGAUCAUGUGGAAACUUCAUCAAAGUUGACCGAUUUGUGAACUAUGGAUUGUGAGUUGCAACUGAGAACAACACAUCAGGCAAAGGGGGCAUGUGUGGGUUCUCACAUUGGGAAAUUAUAGCAGCUGAUGAUCAAGUUAAUGGCAGCCAGCAGCAGAAUGGGUGACGAUAGGGCCACUGACGGUUGAGGCAACUUCAAUUCCUCCUCGCAAAGUAUCAUGCACCAUAUGGGAGAUCACGAUAUGGUUCAGAGGGUCAAGAACAGCUGAUUCGGAGGAGAAAGAAAGUAGCAACCUUGCGGUUUGGUGUGGGUCAGCGGUAGCCGAUGGUGACGACAUCGCUGCGAGGACAACGGGUCGACGAGGCAGCAGCAAUUCUCCUUGGGGACGAUCAAGAAAAAAAGGUUGGCGUCCAUGGGCUCCAAGAUCACUACUGCAGCAGCACUGCUCUGCGGUGUCAUCGGAGCUUUGUUUUGGUGGAUGCGCAGCAGUGGGAGGUAUGAGAUGUGGAGGGGCAUCCUGGCUGAUGGGGGGGGUGGAGGAAUGGAAAAAAAGAUGAGGAGUCCUUCUCUAGUGGUGGCGUGUGGGAGAGAAAGGAGGAGAUGAGGGGAUAUUUAUAGCUGUUGUUUGCUGCAUGAGAGCAUGCAAAUGAGGAGAGAGUAAAACCAAGGAAAUAAAAGGGUGUUAUCAAAGGAGAUUUGAAGAGAGGUACCUGCUGUUUUGUGCGUGAGAGAGAGGAGGAAAAUAUAUGACUGCUACUUCCUGCAUGGAUGCAUGCAAAUGAAGAGAGUAAAACCGAUGGAGUAAAUGGGUGCUAUUGAAAUCAGGUGUGACUCAAAGGAAUCAAAGGAGAUCAUUAUUUGCAGCAGUUGUUUUGCUUGGGAAGAGAGUGGCGGCUCCUGUGUGUGUCGAGCAUAAAAGAAAUAAGGGAGAAGGGGUGAUGCAUGGCUAUUUCAUGAGCCACUUACUAAUGCAAUUAGAUAGUGGUAAGGGAGAGUAAGCACUGGUACAGGAAAGGCCUUUAGCCCCGGGCCGUAAGGGCCUUUAGUCCCGGCUACAGAACCGGGGCUAAGGUUUCGGGACUAAAUGUCCCACCUUUAGUCCCGGUUCCGGGAGCCGGGGCUAAAGGUCCACCUUUAGUCCCGGUUGGUAAAAGAAACCGGGACUAAAAGGUGCGUCACGGUGUGCCACCUGGCCUUAGAUUUUUUUUUUCCUUUUCUUUCCUUUUGGUUUUCCAUUUAGGGUUUAUAAUUAUGUUAUUAUUAUUUUUGAAUGCAUAUUAUUUGCUGCUAGUUUAUGGAAACGCGCACCUAUAAUUUUUAUAAUUUAAAGCAUUACAUAUAAAUAUACUUUAAAACACUAUAUAUAUAUAUAUAUAUAUUAUAUGUAUCCAUAGGUCCAUAAUAUAAUAUUUAUAUAUGCAUCACGGAUAAAGUAUUUACAAAAAAAAAAUUAUCUCUGCCACUCAAGCAUCGUACAAAUGAUCAUCGUGAUUUGGUUUCAUUGGCUCCUCAGGGUUGAAGUAGCACUCGCCGUCGGGAUUCAGGACUUAGUCGUUAAGAAAUCCUUUGAUUGUCUAUUGAAUUCCUUUUAGGCGGACCGCAUCCAACACCUGCUCCUUCAACCACAUCUCCUUUAAUAGACAUUAAAGAAAAAAGUUAGAAGUAUGAAUAGGAUUUAUUAAAUAGCAAAAAAUAAAUGAAAUAAACUUAUUAUAUAUACAUGUUACAUACUUUUAGGUGCUCAAGAUUAGUUCUUUUAGCAUAGACCGUCAUAAACUCGCACGCAUAGUAGCCACACAAAUUGUUUGCCCGGUGUCUGCCGUAGAACCCACUGAAGUAAGAUAGGCUUUAAAAGUGGCGCUUUCAAAUCUGGACGGUGUUUUUGCACGAACCCAGCCCAAACCCUAGCAAUAAAACGAUCAUUAUUAAUUAUCUAUUACCGAGUUAAAAGAGCAGAAUUUAAUAUUUAGAGAUCGGAGUUACCCUUCGAUAAUAUCUAUCGUUUCUUGGUAAUCUUCCGGUGGUUUUCUCAACGAGUCAUAGAUUACCAAUUGACAUUGCCAGAGAUCAAUGACAACUAGUAUCCAAUGAAAGCUGCAUUUGUGUGCAUGUAGGCAAAAUUAUUAUAUAUCUUCAUACUGAUCUGAUUAAUUAGUUAAAUAGAAUGUACACAUGAUAACAACACUUACUUAAAGCUAUAGGGAAAGAGUAUAUAUUUUUUGUCUUUUUGAUUGAUCAAGAACCUCCGUAGAUUUCUCUCCGUUUGAGUUCUCCAUAAGACAUACAGGGUCUUUACGUCUUUGAAUACAACAUUUGGAUCCACAAAUCCAAUCUCCUUGUCAUUUCUAACUCUAAGGUCCCUCAUCGUGUUUCUGCAUAUGUAUAGCGGGUUUCUGUAAUUAGUUAUACAUAUACAUGAUAAGUUACAGUGACAUUAUUGAAAGAAAGAAUCACUUACAGACAAAGUACUGACUCCCACAAGUUUUUCAUAAUCAGCAAAGUACUAACUCCCAUCAUCUUCGCGUUGGGGAUCUUGGCGUCGCUGUUGAUUAGGUCCAUCAUUGCAUCAUCCAUGUUGUCAUUCGGAUUGGUCAUUUCUGCAAAUUUAAUCAAGUGUUAAAAGUUAUUUGUCAAAUCUCGUACUUAAUAUGUCCAACGCAAAAGUAUUUGACGUGAUCAACAUAAAUUAUUUGGAUAGGUUAAACUUAGACAAUAUUUGGAUACAAUAUUUGUCCACACAUUUUGGGAUUUUUAUCAUAAAGAUAAAUAUAGCUUUUGAGUGGUUUUAAGAGGAUUUUUAUUGUAAAAUAUUUGUCUACAUAUUAUCUAAUGAAUAUUUUAAUACAUAUAAAUAUUUAUCAAUAACUAAAUCUAGAUGUGUAACUUUUUUAUAAAUAUCUAAAAAACGAAAGCACUUCCAUUUUUUGUCCUUUAACUCUUGCAUAGAUAGAUAAAAACGAUUGGAUAAAUAAAAACGCCACUGCAGGAUGUAAUUAAUUUGCGAGACAAAUUUGCGAGACAAAUUUUUUGCAAGUAAACAAGGCCCUCCAGAUAUAUGUUUACAAUAUGUAAUUAAUUUGCAAGACAAAUUUGUGAGACAAAUUUUUUGCAAGCAAACAAGGCCCUUUAUAUAUAUGUUUACAGCAUGUAAUUAAUUUGCGAGACAAAUUUGCGAGACAAAUAUGAUAAACGAAACACUUCCAUAUAUAUGUAUACAUGCCUUAGCUAAAAAUUAGAUAAAAUUAGCUAAGAGUAUUAAAUAUAGAGAAAAAAUAACUAAUUACACAGUUCAUAGGGAAACCGCGAGACAAACCUUUUAACCUUAAUUAGUUUAUGUUAGCCAUAAUUGCUAUAAUAACACAAAUAUGCUAAUAACGGAUUAGUUAGAUAUAAUAAAUUUGUCUCACAGUUUUUAGAGAAAUUAGGUAAUUAAUUUUUUAAUUAAUAUCCAAACUGCUCUUUUGGUAUUCCAUAAAAUAUUCGAUACAACAACUAAGCACUUGUUUAGUUUUGAAAAUUUUUUGGUUUUUGGUACUGUAACACUUUUGUUUUUAUUUGACAAAUAUAUCAUAUAAAUUACACUGUAAUUAUGGCUAACAUAAACUAAUUAAGCUUCUACACAGGAUAAAUAACAAUAACUAAUUACAACUAAGGCCUUGUAAAAAUAAAUUAUAAAUUUCAAGUUUUUACACAGGAUAAAUUAUAUCAUAUAAAUUAUAUCAUACAAAGGAUAAAUUAUAAAAUAGAAAUGAUAUCAUCUCAUCUCAAUAUAUAUACAACAGAGCGCUCAACACAAUUUCUAAAAAAAUCAUCACAAGUGCCGACCAAGAAUUAUACUGCACAGUACGGUGACGGCCGAGAUCAAAAAGCUCGCAGCGGCGGCCGAGAGAAGAAGCUCGCAGCGACGCCGGAGAAGAAGCUUGCGCAGCGGUGCCAGAGAAGAAGCUCGCGCGGCGCCAGAGAUCGAAUAAGCUCGCAGCGGUCGCCGGAGAAGAAAGUGGUGUCGGUAGUACGAUGGCGGCGCUCCUCGGCUCGACCCGAGGACGAGGGGGUGGCUGCGGCGGCGGCGCUCCUAGCCGGGCCCGAGACGACGGCGCUCGGCCGGGGACGAAGGCGCGAGGCGACGGCGGGGAGCAGCGCGCGGCGGAGGAAGAAACUAGGGCAGCGUCGAACUGGAUCGAGGAGGAAGACGACUGUUCGGUUAAAUACACGCGGGGACUUUUAGUCCCGGUGCGUAUCACCAACCGGGACUAAAAGGUCUUUAGUCCCGUGUUAAUGCAAAGACAAAUCUGCAAACACAAAGGGCUAAUACCCGAUUUAAACGUUGAGGCGUUCCAGCCGAUUUGCAAUCGACAAAUGUGAUAACUUGAACACUUUGGUCCCGACAAUAGCGAUGCGCCCGGAUGUUACGACCAAGAGAUGUUCACGCGGAACUUGAGAAUUCGUCGAGUAUGACUUGAUGAAUCCUUAAGAACUCGUAGAAGAAAGAAAAAUAUGUUGGUUGACGAAGUCGUCAAAAAAGUAGAUGCAAAAGUAGAUGUAAAACUUGUGUAUGAUAUUGAUUGAUUGUCUUCUUACAUCGCUACUAGGACUAUAUUUAUACUCUGUCCUAAAGAGUUACAACUGUACACGACUAGGAUUUUAAUUCCAAACCAAACAGAACUCGUACAUAAAAUAAACUCUAACAAAUAUGGAAGUAACUACCUAUCCAUCCUGGUGAUCGGCAUGCCACCAUUGUCUUGAUCGGCACACGCCCUACAUCUCUUUCUUCAUCGGCAUCGGCAAUCAUUAGUAAUCAGCAAUGAUCGGCAACUACCACCAGACUUAGCAACAUCUCCCUCCUGUUGUUCUAUCAUCGACAUCAUCGGCUAUCGGCAAUCUUCUUUAUCGGCCAGACAGAUCACCUCUCUGACUGCCGAUUCAAGCCUUAUUGACUAUCCCGAUUUGUGUCCCAAAAAACGGUGUCAACAUAUGCCCCCCAAUUUUGGAGUAUGAAAUCAUUAAUGCUAUGAAAUUCUCUCCUAAUAAUGAUGACCUUUUCGCAAUUAUUUUCUUCUAGCAACAAUUAAUUACCAAAUCCAAACAACCUUAACCCGGAUCUCCAGCGACUAACUCGAAUCUUUCAAACACCCGAGCCAAAUCUCAUAGAAAUACGCUCAUCGGCAACUGUUUUCUGUUAGGGUUAAUUGCCGAUGGACCGACCAAAAGAUCAUGUACAGUGAAAUAUCUCCUAAAAUCAUGAUUACUUGCUGUCAAAUCACCUACACAAUCUCUUGAUUAUUGUGCGAACGGUUACCAUAUCCACGUAAACACCAUCGAAUUUCACGGAUACGGCAAAGAGAUAAGUCAAAAUUACCCCUGCUCACUUCAACCUAUAAAUACUCCCUUCCUCAGCACUCUUUCUCCACCUUGCCAUUCUCCAUUCCCAAAUUCAUCUCCUGGCGGCGGCAUUGACGAAGGACUCAAGAACUCCAGCAGCAAAGAACCUCCCUUAGAAUCUUCAAGUCUUUGACUUCUCCUUCUUCCUCGAGAAGAAAUGGCCAUCAACUUCACCGUGCCUAAGGUUAAUCCAUUCCCAUUCUCUCUUUCCUUUACUGUAAUCCUUUACUGUGGGGGUAUAAACCCCUAUACCCUUACGGCUAGACUUCAGCCAGGAAGCUUGGCCCACUACGAGACGAGUUCAAGGCUUGAUCCGACAGCCCGAGUUUCGCGCAAGGAAACAAGACGUGGAGAUCAAGCAGGAUUCUAGUCGGUUAGAAUAGGAAUUGAUAUCGAAUUAUCUAUGGCAAUUGUAACCGACUAGGAUUAGUUUCUAGAUCUGUAACCCUGCCCUCCAGACUAUAUAAGGAGGGGCAAGGGACCCCCCUAGGACAUCAUAUAUUCUCUCAGCACAAAUCAAUACAACCUGACGCAGGACGUAGGUAUUACGCCAACUCGGCGGCCGAACCUGGAUAAAAAGCUUGUCCGUGUCUUGCGUCACCAUCGAGUUCGUAGUUUGCGCACCGUCUACCGAUAAACUACUACCGUGGGUAUACCCCAAGGUAGACUGCCGACUAGCUUUCGUCGACAGUGGCGCGCCAGGUAGGGGGUGUGCGUGCAACUUUUCCGGCGAACAAGAUGGUCACGAUCCCAGCUUCCGCGACCGUGCCCGAAGGCCUCACGUUCACCGUCGGCCAGAUCACGUGGACGACGUGCAGCGGCGGUUUCGCGACCACGGUUCCGAAAGAGAUCCAGAUCCAAUCUGAGAUCACGCCGUCUCCGACCACACGCAUGACGGCACCAAGCUCCCGACCACCGUUCCCGCUCUACAAGGGAAAGGAGAUCGACUGCUCAGACCUCCUCCAAGCGCUCGAUCGCGCUGACUCCAAGCUAUUCGAAGUCUCCCAACUAAUAGAUGGAGUUCUGCGCCGGCCCGACCAAGCUGCUCGAGCGGUUUUCGAAAUUCCGCCGGCCAACUCGUGUCGCCACACACGAACGGCUGGGAACGUCCCUGACGAUAACCUCAACCCCCUCAGGACGAUCCGUCGAGCUCAAAAAGGAAGACUAUCCCUGCGGCCUGAACAACUCGGCCUCUGUUUACUCACAGCAUGUCCAAUCCGUUUUCAGCAAAGCGGGCUGGUCGCCGACAAGGAACAAUCGUCACCAUGUCAACAUGGUGACCAUCCGAGAGCUACGGGACGGCCAGGUUUCCAGCACCAACUCAAGCACCGGCUCCGUCCCCACCGAGGUUGUGAACACCGAAGACGAGGACUACGACCUGGAUUUUCCUUCACACCCUCCGGGUUUCGACCGAUUCCCGAUAUUCCCCCCCCCCCCGGCGAGGGGAUAUUGUAUUCAAUGUCAGCGCCGACGAACUGGCUGUUGACGGAGAAACAGACGACCAGAGGCAACUCCGCGAACAGCGUAACGCCGAGCGCGCCCGACGGCGUGCGGACGAGCAACAACAGACGCCACCAGGUAACCUCAACGAUGCCUUUGACAUGGUUGGGGACCAGCCGGUCUACAAAACGCCAAGCGCCAACGUGGCUGUCGCCAUGGCCAACCUGGAUCGGCUUCCUGACACCCCCGAAUGCCAGGGAGUCCGGACCAGUAUCCGAGCACACCUGAUCGCCGCAAUGGGACAGACAGCCACUCUGCUCAAGAGAGUCCAGGACGUCUCUUAUAUGGAAGCCGCCUCCGACCAGACUCAUCGUAGCCGGGCCUCACCCAGCAGGCGUCGCCGCAGCCGCUCCCCCGACAACCGUCGAGGGGACUCACGGCGCGAUGAUGGUGGUCGGGACGCCGAUGGCCGCCGCCAGCAGGACCGCGUAUGCGGCCAAGAAGAAGAAGAUCAACACAGGGAUCUCCACCACAACAUCCCUCCCAAAGAUGCCCGGGACCGCAUCAACAGACGCGCCGUAGAGAGAGCAGUCCACGAAAACCUGCGCCACAUCGAGUACGACGCGACCCACGGUCCUCCGGGCCUAAGGCAGUUCUCCUCACACCUCCGCCAGGUCGUGUGGCCCCGCAAUUUCAAGCUCGAAAAACUUAAAAAAUACGACGGCAAGGAAAAUCCAGAGAACUGGAUCACUCUCUAUGAAAUCGCCGUCCGAUCAGCGGCAGGAGAUGAGCACGUCAUGGCUAAUUACUUCCCCGUAGUCCUCGACCAGGCUGGUCAUCAGUGGCUUCUCGGCUUGCCCGAGGACUCCUUCGACUCUUGGGAAGAGCUACGACAGGCUUUCAUCGACAACUUCAUCGCCACAUGCGAGCAGCCCGGAAACAAGUAUGACCUUGAAAGGAUAAGAGACAGGAAGAAUGAACCUCUGCGCGAUUACAUCCGACGAUUCUCGGAUAUGCGCCUCAAAAUCCCGAAGAUUUCUCAUGACGAGGCCAUAUCAGCCUUUAUCAAGGGCUUGCGUUUCCAUGAAGCGCUGAGGAACAAGCUGUUGCGUAAGCGCCCAUCAACGGUAGCAGAGCUCCUCGCCACGGCUAAAAAUUACGCCGAUGCUGAUGACGCAGAAAAACUAAUCCGAGACGAUGCGAGAGACCCCGACCAGCCCUCCCGGCGAGAUGACGGUCGUGGUCGCUACGACAACAGAAAUCACCGCCGCUCCGACAACCGCGAUCACCGAGAGGGUUGGGAUCGGCGGCGCGACAGCCGCGACGACUUCAGAGGAAAGCGCCCUCGCGAAUACGACCACGAAGUAAACACGGUCAAACGUCCCAAUGGACGACGGGACUACCAAGACGACUACAACAAAACGUUGAAGGGACCGUGCCAGCUACACCCAAAGUCUAACCAUACCAUGGAAGAGUGCCGCGUCCUUAAAAGUAUCUAUACACGGCGGGCCGCCCAAGAAGACACCGCCAAGAAAAGUAGCAAACGCGACGGGCACGACCACGAAGAUGAGGAUGAGGACCAAGACAGGGACCCCCGACACCAAUACGUCAGCCCCACCGACGUGGUUCACUCCAUUUUCGGGGGCAAGGUCUCCACUGAGUCCAAGCGAGAAAGAAAGCUGUUAAAGAGAGCCUGCCUCAACAUAGACAGCACGGACGGGCUGAUCGCAGAUCCGAAAUUUCCCGCCUGGUCCCACAGGGAGAUCGCGUUCAGCAGGAAGGACCAGUGGGCCGCUAUCCCAGAGCCGGGUCGUUUCCCACUGAUUCUUGAUCCCUGCAUCAAUAGCAUCAGAUUCGAGCGCGUGCUCGUGGACGGGGGAAGCUCCAUCGACAUCCUCUUCCGCAACAGCCUGCCCGCCCUCAAGAUAUCACUGGCGCAACUAAAACCUUACGACGCCCAAUUCUGGGGGGUUUUGCCAGGUCAAAGUUCGGUGCCCCUCGGACAGAUAACAUUGCCUGUCCAAUUCGGCACACCCGAUCACUUCCGGACGGAGUUCAUCAACUUCGUAGUCGCGGACUUCGACGGGACCUACCACGCCAUACUGGGCCGCCCAUCGCUGACAAAGUUCAUGGCAGUCCCGCACUACUCAUACCUAGUGCUUAAGAUGCCCACGGAGAAGGGUGUCCUGACCGUCAGAGGCAACGUCUACACUGCGUACACCUGCGAAGAAGAAAGUUUCAAGAUCACCGAGGCAAUUGACCUCUCAAUCCGCAUGGCGGAAACAGCAAACCAAGCCGCACAGCUGCCCCCCGACCAGCUCCGAUUACCUGAGCAGGAGACAGCCAGAAAGAAUUCGAAAUCCAAGGAGUACAAAGAAGUGCAGCUGGUCGAAGGCAACCCCGAGAAGACAGCCCUCAUCGGGGCUAACCUGGAUCCAAAAUAGGAAGACGCGCUCGUCAGGUUUCUAAGGGACAACGUGAGCGUUUUCGCAUGGAAACCCGCAGACAUGCCCGGUGUCCCACGAAACCUGAUCGAGCACUCCUUAAACGUCUCGAAGACUGCAAGACCAAUCAAGCAAAAACUGCGACGGUUCGCUCGUGACAAAAAGGAGGCUAUUAGGACAGAAAUAACACGGCUUCUAGCAGCCGGAUUCAUAAAAGAGGUGUAUCAUCCCGAUUGGCUCGCCAAUCCGGUUCUUGUACGCAAAAAGAAUAAUGAAUGGAGAAUGUGCGUUGAUUACACCGAUCUCAACAAACACUGUCCUAAAGAUCCUUUUGGUCUUCCUCGCAUCGACGAGGUGGUCGACUCAACGGCCGGAUGCGAACUCCUCUCCUUUCUAGAUUGCUACUCUGGUUAUCACCAGAUCUCGUUAAAGGAAGAAGAUCAGAUCAAAACAUCCUUCAUCACACCCUUCGGCGCAUACUGUUACACUACCAUGUCUUUCGGACUUAAAAACGCCGGGGCCACUUAUCAAAGGGCCAUUCAGCAAUGCCUCCACGACGAGAUUCGCGAUGACCUCGUCGAGGCCUAUGUGGACGACGUGGUCGUCAAAACAAGGGAUGCGAGCACCCUAAUCGACAACUUAGACCGAACCUUCAAGGCACUCAAUAGGUACAAGUGGAAGCUCAACCCCAAGAAAUGCAUUUUCGGCGUUCCUUCCGGUCUACUGCUCGGCAACGUCGUCAGUUGUGACGGCAUACGACCAAACCCUUCAAAAGUCAAAGCCGUACUCGACAUGCGACCACCGAAGAACGUCAAGGAUAUUCAGAAGCUAACCGGAUGCAUGGCCGCCCUCAGUCGUUUCAUCUCAAGGCUGGGAGAAAAAGGCCUCCCUUUCUUCAAACUAUUGAAAGCGUCAGAAAAAUUCUCCUGGACCGAAGAAGCCGACGCUGCGUUCACUCAGCUUAAGACCUUCCUCACUUCACCGCCUGUCCUCACAGCGCCUCAGCCCAAUGAAGACCUGCUCCUUUACAUUGCUGCAACCGACAGGGUUGUUUCCACGGCAAUAGUGGUCGAGCGAGAUGAACCAGGUCACGUCUUCAAGGUCCAGAGACCCGUUUACUUCAUAAGCGAAGUUUUAAACGAAUCCAAGGCCAGGUACCCACAAAUACAGAAGCUUAUAUACGCCAUCCUGAUAACGUCAAGAAAACUGAAGCACUACUUCGACAGCCAUCGAGUCCUGGUGACAACCAGCUUUCCUCUCGGUGACAUCCUGCGCAAUAAAGACGCCAAUGGCAGAAUCGUGAAAUGGGCAAUGGAAUUAUGUCCAUUUUCCCUGGAGUUCCAGAGUCGCACCACUGUCAAGUCCCAAGCCUUGGUCGAUUUCAUUGCCGAAUGGACGGAUCUCAACGAGCCUUCCGUUCCCGAUGUCUCAGACCACUGGUCAAUGUUCUUUGAUGGGUCCUUGAACAUCAACGGUGCAGGCGCUGGGAUAUUGUUCGUAUCACCCAACAAGGACAAACUCCGCUACGUCCUUAGGAUCCUUUUCCCGGCGUCAAACAACGUCGCCGAAUACGAAGCAUGCUUACACGGCAUACGACUAGCCGUUGAACGGGGGGUCAAGCGCCUCUAUGUCUACGGCGACUCCGCUUUGGUCAUCAACCAGCUCAACAAGGAGUGGGACGCAACCCACGAGAAGAUGGAUCUCUACUGCAAAGAAAUUCGCAAAUGGGAAACUAACUUCUAUGGCAUAGAGUACAUCCACGUGGUCCGGGAUAAGAACCAAGCAGCAGAUGCGUUGUCAAAGUUAGGCUCAUCUCGGGCCCAGAUCCCGCGGGGUAUUUUUGUCCAGGACAUCCAUGAGCCAAGCGUAAGCCCUCCCCUGGUCGACAAGCAACCCACCGAGGCAAUGCUCAUAGAUGACGCCACUCCGACAACCGGUGGGCGUGACUGGCGUACCCCGUUCAUCAAAUACAUAUCAGACGGGACAGGCUAUCAGGACAAAACAGAGAACGAGCGCCUCAUCCGACGAUCAAAGAACUACAUCCUGGUCGACGGAAAACUCAUGCGGAAAAACGCAAGCUCCGAAGUACUGCUCAAGUGCAUACCCCAAGAUGAUGGUAUCAAGCUCUUGGAAGACAUACACGCUGGAUCCUGCGGCAAUCACGCCGCAUCUAGAACGCUGGUCGGAAAGGCUUUCCGAGCAGGUUUUUAUUGGCCAACCGCGGUCGGCGACGCAGAAAAACUGGUUCGGCAUUGCGAAGGAUGUCAGUUUUUCGCUAAGAGGACCCACGUACCUGCCCAUGAAAUUCAAACUAUCCCGUCGUCUUGGCCCUUUGCUUGCUGGGGGCUUGACAUGAUCGGACCAUUUAAACCAGCCCCGGGCAAUUUCAAGUUUGUCUUCGUGCUAAUCGACAAGUUCUCCAAGUGGAUUGAAUACAUGCCCCUGGUCAAGGCAACCUCCGAGAAGGCUGUGGAGUUUCUCAAUCAAAUCAUACACAGAUUCGGCAUCCCGAACAGCAUAAUCACCGACCUGGGCACUCAGUUUACUGGCACCACUUUUUGGGAUUUCUGCGAUGACAGAGGCAUAGUCAUAAAAUAUGUGUCAGUAGCACAUCCACGUGCCAACGGUCAAGUCGAACGUGCUAAUGGAAUGAUCGUUGACGCCCUAAAGAAGAGGCUGUACACCGAAAACGACAGAGCACCCGGUCGAUGGAUGAGAGAAUUGCCGGCAGUAGUCUGGGGCCUCCGAACCCAGACCAGUCGAAACACAGGGGUGUCUCCCUACUUCAUGGUAUACGGUGCAGAGGCGGUCCUGCCGUCCGACAUACACUUCGGAUCUCCUAGAAUCGAGCACUACGACGAGGCGACUGCCGACAACGCCAGAGAACUCGAAAUCAAUUGCAUGGAGGAAAAGCGUUUAGUUUCAUGUCUCCGAACAGCAAAAUAUCUCGCGGCAGUCAGGCGAUACUACAACAGGAACGUCAAGGACCGUUCCUUCGUGGUCGGCGAUCUGGUGCUUCGAUGGAAAACAAGCCAGGAGGGAAUGCACAAGUUAUCCACUCCCUGGGAAGGACCCUUCGUGGUGACCGAGGUCACACGACCUACGUCCUACAGAUUGGCAUACCCAGACGGAACACGAGUGCCUAACUCUUGGCACAUCGACAAACUGCGACAUUUCUAUCCAUAAAGUUUUAAUGACUUUCUUUUGUAAGUAUCUUAUAAUUUUUGAUAAUGAAAUUCUCUAUUUUUCGCCUAUACCUUGUCACACACAGCACUCGGCAAAACUCCUGCAAUGGAUGCUCUUGGCGACAACCAAGACAAAUACGGUGACACGUCACUCAGAUAUUUUUACAGCGCUCAAAACAACAGUCAUGACAAAAAAGAAAACUUUAUUACAAACUUUACAUACAAAGUUUACAAUAAAUACCCUGACGGGCAGAUACUAGUCUAUUCCUACAGACUACUUUAUUGGCCUAGCUGCUCGGGCUGAUCACCCGCCUGGCCCUGCUGCCCGGACGAAGGGGUCGGGGCCACCGGCGCCUGGCUGGUCGAGACCGCAGGCGUCGACCGCCCAUCUCCAGCAACGGACGCGCCCGACAACUCCCUGGCCGACCUAUCUGAGCUCGGCUGGUCUGGAGGAGUGGCCGUUCCGCACAGGUUGAUGUCGCCGAUCACUGUCGACGACAAGUCCAGCAGACUACCCCGAAGUUCGUCCGCUUCCUGUGGGCCGACUUCCUUCGGGUACCCCUUCUCCAGCCUGCUCAAGUCGACCAGGGGGUAGUGGGCGCGUACCAUGCUGAGGACGUGCGCGCCGGCAAACUCCCCGGCGUCCUUCACAAACUGCUGGAGCCAGUCCCACGCCCGUUGCGCCUUCUCGACCGGGGUCAACUGCGGCGCGCGGGGCUGGCUCUCCGGGAGCUCGGGACUAAUCAGGUCCAGGACCGGGGACACUCCCUUCCAGAUCCUGCAACAGUUGACCUUCCAGGAGUCCCGGUCCUUGAUCAGGUCAUCCAGGUGCUUUUUGGUGUUCACCUUGAGCACUGCAAACGAAACGAAACGUUACUUUCGGCAUAUCAGACAAGCAAAGGGGCAGGCAGCAACCAACAAGGCGGCACCCAUUACCAGCUAACUCCCGGUCUUUUCGACCCAAUUCCUCUUCCGCUCGCCGCCCGGACUCCUGUGCACUGGCGAGCUGUUGGCCGAGCUGCUCCUCUUGUUGGAGGCUCGCCACCUCCUCCUCCAAGUCUGCGUGAAUCCUAAACUGGUCAGCAAAGCAAACUAUACAAGUACGCGAAACUGCUCGGAGCGUGUGACUAACCUUCCUGCAGCCGGUACUGGUCGGCCAGACGACGAGCGAGGUCGAGACGACGCUCCUUUUCGGCGCUCAUCUCGACCACCUUCUCCCCGACCUCCGCCCGCAACCGGUCUACCUCCGCGGCAAGGGCCUUGUUCUCGGCCAUGACGCCUUCUAUCUGGUCAAAGCACCGUUUCCGGUACUUCGCCGUUUUCAUUACGUCCUACAAAGCAAGCAUACAACGAUCAAGCAAGACAAGGCAAAAGAAUGCGCAGCAGUACAAAAAGCCGCUUACCUUGACUUCGUCGACAAGGCGCUUGGCUGCGCGCUCCACCCUGGCGGCCUCUUCGGUCUCGGUGACCUCCUCAUGACCGAUAAAGUGAUCCCCGCGUUGGCGCCACACAUACACGUGUUGGCGGCCAUCACGGGGACGACCCUCGAUCUCCUCCACCUCAUCGUCGGAGGCCGCCCGGGUUUCUUCCUCCUGUGCUGCGUCACCCCCGGUGGUGGUCCCAGGCAUUACUGGCCCUUGGACCAGACCUGGGGAGCCCGCAGCCGAAGAGGCUCCUGCUCGGGGCGGCGGGGGGACUUCACUCCCCCCGGCAGGAGGAGCGGUCGGAGAUCUCCCCUUCUCCGAGGAGUCAGUUGGGGGAGCCUCUCCAGCCCUGGUCGGGCUGCUUGUUGUCGGCGCCGCGCUCGGGAGCCCCUCGGUGCUCCCAGGCGCGACUGCAGCUGUUGGCUGCUCUGUGGUCUGGGGGGCUGCAUCCCCAGAACCGCGGGCAGGCUCGCCCGUUCCCUGGCCGGCAGUUUGGCCAGGGUCGACAUCCGAUGCCGCACUACAGGAACUAAAGUUAAAAAAAAGGGAGGAGUCCAAAAUACGUAAGUCGAACACUUACAGGUCUGACCGACGAUGGGUCGCGGUGAACCUCCUCCUCGCCCGGCCGGUCGGCACCUGUGCCCCCACCUCAGCAACUUGCGGGGCAGCGGCGCCGCUGGCCACUCGAUCAGUGGCGACCGGCGCAGUGUCUGGGCGGCUCCGAGGCCGCCGGACCAACGACGGCGCAGCCUCUUCGUCGUCGUCGUCGUCGUCGACGAUCCGCACGAGCCGACGACGUUUCGGCGCUUGGCUGCUCUCCACCGGUAGGUCUGCCGGCAGCUCCGGUGUCGGCAAGGGAUCCGCCGGCAAUGGCCUUUUCCCCGCUACCCUCUCCUCGGAGGUCGGGACGGGGCGGGCUCGGUCUUCCUCACUGCUGGUGUAAUGAGUACACCGAGCAGCAUCCUCCUCUGGCGGGACCUCUCCCACAGGAUCUUCCAUCCCCGGUGCCAGUGAUACAUACACCACGCACCGGUCGACAUCACCGACCUGCAAAAGCAACAGAGAUGAGCCAACUGCAGACGAUAUACGAAUGAUCAAACGGAGUCUGCUACAUACCUUUGGUGCUGGUCGUCCUAACUUGAAGGCUUGCACCCGAUCACUGCUACGGGUGAAGCCCCCAUCCGCGAAGUUAAACAGCUCGUUCAGCAGCUGUUGUACCUCCGCUUUCUCCAAGAUCUCCGACCGCAUCCUGGUCGGGUCUGCGCUUCCGGCAUACUCGUACGCCGAGUGCACCCUCUUCUGGCAGGGCAUCACCCGGCGGCAAAUGAAGUUGCCGACCACGCCAAGCCCAUCCAGGCGCGACCAGUCGAUCAGCUUCAUCAGAUCCGCCACUUGACCGUCGAACUCUGGGCGGUCGGUCCAGCUCGUCCUCUUCUCGGGAACGUACCCCACGUCGCAGAACGUGGAGCUGCCCGGUUCCUCCCUGACGUAGAACCACUUCCUGUACCAUUCGGUCAAGGAGGUGUUCCAUGGGCAGUGCAGGUAGCGAUUCUUCAUCCCAUCACGAAGGUUGAGGUAUACUCCACCUGCAACCUUGGAGCCUCCAACUGCUCCCUUCUUCCUCAGACAGAAAAGGUACCGGAAAAGAUCAAAGUGCGGCUCUAUGCCAACAUAGGCCUCGCACAGAUGGAUGAAGGUGGAAAUAAGGAGAAUUGAGUUCGGGUGCAGAUUGCAAAUCCCGAUCUCAUAGUACAAAAGAAGACCUUGAAGAAAAGGAUGAACAGGAACACCAAAGCCUCUCUUGAUGAAAUCCUCAAAAACGACGAUCUCACCGGCGCGAGGGUCGGGGUAGCUCUCCCCCUCCGGCGCCCUCCAGCCGCCGAGCUCUGCGCCGUGCAGAAGCCCCAUGUCGACGAGGUCACCAAGAGAUUUUGUGGUGCUGCGAGACUUCUUCCACUCCUUGGCCAUCAGUUCGGCCCUCUUCCUGGAGUCGCUCUUCGCCAUUAGAGGUGCGAAUGUGGGCUGGAGUUAGGAAGAUGCAGGAGAUUGGAGAAGAUGAGAGCGGAAGGUUUGAAGGCAAUGGCAGGAGAAGCGGUACAGGCGGUCCUAUUAGGCCCUUAUAAACCCGCGACCCCACCUCUCCCACUUCCUGUAUUCUCGGGAAGUGGGCAGGCCAUGCGGCGGACGCGGCGUUUCGGUUUACAAUGAUUAUAGACAAUUAAUGCGGCGGAGUUUUCGUACCAAUUGAUGGUUUCCUUUUCUCAAACCAUGCAAAGAGCGGUUGUACAGUUGCCAGGUGCAGCUUUUCAUGCAUCCGUCUGACAUAUCGUCAGGAGACCCCGUCACGUCAACUUUAAUUGGAAAGAUCUUUUCAAAAGUAAGAAGACACAUACGCCAGUGAGUCAGCAAUUCGGGGACUGCACCGACCACCGAGCACUCGACGCUCGGGGACUGGUCGCCCAGUCUAUCAGCUCGGAACUUCAAGGACUGCACCGACCACCGAGCACUCGACGCUCGGGGACUGGCUGCCUAGUCUACCAGUUCGGAACUUCAAGGACUGCACCGACCACCGAGCACUCGACGCUCGGGGACUGGUUGCCCAGUCUAUCAACUCAGAACUUCAAGGACUGCACCGACCACCGAGUACUCGACGCUCGGGGACUGGUCGCUCAGUCUAUCAGCUCAAAGCUUUAAAGCAUGCACCGACCACUGAGCACUCGAUGCUCGGGGACUGGUCGUACAGUAUAGUAACAUGUAAUUCCAAGCAGCACACUAAGUGCCUGGGGACUGGUCGAUUGGUCUUUUCGAUUGCAGACGAGCAUGACAUGCUCGGGGACUGGUAAAUUCAAUUUUUUAGACCUUGCUACAAGGCUCAUACUUCGCCUUCCAGCAAGCUCGGGGACUACAUCGGCACGAUGCAUCUAGCGAUGCAUCUCAGUCUCAAAACUACUUUGGGGAAUUUUCUUUUGACCCUGGCACCACGUGCCUACGCCACCUACUACCAGGCUCGGGGACUAAGUGGGCACACUUCACCUAGCGGUGAAUUUGCUUGCUUUUUUGAUGCUUCUACCUUUCAGAAAGGCAAAGUGGGCACACUUCACCAGGAAAGAAAUUUUUUUUAGAGCACCAUGCAUUCUUCGAACAACCUGCUUCUUCGAUGUCAACGUUGAUCAACUGUCUUUCGAGUUGGUCAAGGAACCGUUGCAACUGUUUGGGCGAUUUCCCCGCUUAUUGAAGACGACAAGCCUCGCUGAUCGAAGAAGCUCAAGACGGCGUGUUGCAUCACAAUACAUGGCGCUCGGGGACUAGCUGUGGGGGUAUAAACCCCUAUACCCUUACGGCUAGACUUCAGCCAGGAAGCUUGGCCCACUACGAGACGAGUUCAAGGCUUGAUCCGACAGCCCGAGUUUCGCGCAAGGAAACAAGACGUGGAGAUCAAGCAGGAUUCUAGUCGGUUAGAAUAGGAAUUGAUAUCGAAUUAUCUAUGGCAAUUGUAACCGACUAGGAUUAGUUUCUAGAUCUGUAACCCUGCCCUCCAGACUAUAUAAGGAGGGGCAAGGGACCCCCCUAGGACAUCAUAUAUUCUCUCAGCACAAAUCAAUACAACCUGACGCAGGACGUAGGUAUUACGCCAACUCGGCGGCCGAACCUGGAUAAAAAGCUUGUCCGUGUCUUGCGUCACCAUCGAGUUCGUAGUUUGCGCACCGUCUACCGAUAAACUACUACCGUGGGUAUACCCCAAGGUAGACUGCCGACUAGCUUUCGUCGACAUUUACCUUUCUGCAAGUUUACUUACUUAGCAUUUUCUCCCCCUUUUCUUUUUUGUUCUUUCAAUCUUCAAACUCCAGGAUUUGAGUGAGAAAAUUGUUAUACCUACUGACCAACCCCACCUCCAAUGUCUCGGUCCAAUGGGUGAUCCAGAUCCCACCGAUCUGAUCAAUGUAGAAACCAAUAGGAUCCCUUUUAGAGCCGAGAACUUCUCUUUAGAUCUAUGAAAAGAUACUUUCCGAUCCUGGCCAAAUGCCACCAAAGGAUGGAAAGAUUGGUUCCUGAGGGUCAGCAAAACUAAUGAAGUAUACUGGGGUGAACGCAAAAUAGACCAACGUAUUAGGCUUUCCAUUGCCGAUAUGGAAAGAAAUGAAUCAAUGUUGAUAGCUGCCUCAUACUUUUGGUCGGAUACUUUUAAUGCCUUCAUUUUUUGCCACGGCCCAGCUUCCCCCACGCUUGCCGAUGUGGCUAUGCUUACUAGUGUGGACAUUGCAACUGCCGAUGAUGGCCACUUAUUCGGCUGCAAAGCCAAACAUAAAGUAGAAACCCGCAACAUCGGCGGCUGAUCAGGAUAUAUCCAGAAAUAUCAGCGAACGGGAUCGGUUGAUCAAAGAGAGCAUGCCAUCUUUCUGAAUAUGUGGUUAGACAAAUUCAUCUUAUGCGGCCGAUCGGUAGGGCUAACCUCUGUUUACUUAUCGGCAGCAGAAAGAUUAGCUGAUGGCAACCGACUCCCCCUUGGCCGAUAUCUGCUAGGUUAUGUCUAUCAUCUCCUCCACCAAGUAGCCGAGAAACUCCUGCUAGGUGAACCCAUCGGCAACCUAGGGUGUCCUUGGUGGUUUAUUAACAUGUGGCUCAACGUCCAUAUGCACAAACGCCUUCGGUUUGAUUUCUUCGCACAGCAGUUCCCACGAGACAUUGCUGAGGAUCAUGAACUGGCAGAUGAUGAAUCGACAACACGCUCGCCUCUCAAUUAUGGUGAAGCCGUCAUAGUCCUUCCUGGUACUGGGUCCAACGAGAACCAGAUCGGUCGAUUUUUUCAAACAUUGUAUGACGGCCUUUCCAAAUAUCAACGAGCCUGGAUGUCUUAUGAAGAUCCAGAAUCUAGAUUUCCACUCACUUUCCACCCUGCCGAUGAUGCUCUUAACAAGGACAAUGAUAUGAUGAUUGCAAUUAUCACCCCAAGAGCAAUUCCAGUGAACAAUUUUGGCAGCAGAAAGAACAUCAACACCACCUAUGAGUUUUACAACCCAUCGGCACUAGCUCGCCAGCUGGCUUUUGGUCAGCUACCGAUUAGACUUUGUUACGCCGAUGUGGUAAAACCGAGGGAGAUAAUAACCAGCGGACUUGAGUGGAUCAGAAUAGCUCAGCUCCAGCCAGAUGCCGAUACGACGGACAUUGAUCUAUCGGCUUAGGUUCCAGCUCUCUUUAUCAUGCAGUCAUACAAACGGUGGUGGAAAGAAUGGAAGGAGCAUCUAUUCAGGGUAUCGGCCCACAUGUACUGCAACAUGAUCGAUCCCGAGUAUGAAGUUCCCAAUGACGUUGUAAGUUCCCUGCCGAUAUUUCAGUCCUUUUAUUAACUCUAACUUUAUCAGUAACUUACCUUUUUUCACCUCAACAGGUUGAUGACUCAGCACCGACAGUGAGCAGAAGCGGGAGGCCGAUUGAUCUUCUUCCAUCAGGCCUAAUCUCCCUAAUCGGCCACAACGCGCCAAGCCUAGCAGCCUUGAUGCACCGAAACAUCCGCUUCAAGAAGACGACUACCAAGUAGUCGAAAGUUUCUCCAUUGGUAGCCGCUGGUACGCUGGCUCAAGCUUUUAAGGUAAAAUUUUCAACUUUCCUUUCUACUAUGCCGAUCUCAUCUCAUAGUUACUACUAUUUUAGGGUACAUCGGCUGCAACUGGAACGUCAUCGGUAACUAUGUCUUGUUCCAAACAUUCUGCUCUUUCAAAUUUCAAUAAUAUCUUUCUGCUUUUAUAUUUAACCCGCAGAACUUUAAUUUUUGUGGCAAUAGUCUGGUGCAUCGGCAAAGACCAAAAGUACUCGAUCAUCGGGUGCCGAUUCCCCCAGUCUGGCCAAGCUCCAUCCAAAAGAAAGGCCCCCAAGAGUACCAAGACUCAACUAAAGCGACAGAAGACAGUACCAUCCUCUCCGCCUCGUCCAGCAUCCCCGAUUCAAGCAACACCUUCUUCUCCACCUCAUCCAGUGCCCCAGACGCAAGAAGUACCUUCUCCUCCUCAAUCAGCACCCCAGGCGCAAGCCGGCCCAGCUGACGUGUCUGGACCGAUCACCGACCCAAUCGAUCUGGACACAUCAUCGGCUGUUCGUCCUAAGCAACCAUAUAGGAUUUAGAUGCCGUUAUGGAUAAAGUUUGGGUCAAAUAUUGGAAAUAUAGAUCAUCAAUAACUUUUAAAUAUUGAAUUUGCAAAUACAAAAAUUAUAUGAAUAAUUUUGUCUUGAAAAAUACUUUUAUAAAAGUAUACAUAUAUUAUUUUUUCCUAAAUAUUUUUAUAAAAAUAAAAGGUCAAAGUUAUGUUUUAAAGAUUGUGUCGUUGUCCUAAAUAACAUAUAAAUCCUAUACAGAGGGAGUAUUUAUAGUAGUACAACUAACCACAAUUAAUUUAAGUACAAUUAACCACAAUUAAUUUUGUAUUCUACACGAUGCAUUUAUGGUAUUGUAACAGAUAGCUGGAAUCUGGACAUGGAUUCCAUUGCCCUCUGCGGGUGUUUACGCCUUGCUUGAAGACUACGGCCUUGUUUAGUUCAUCCAAAAACUAAAAAACUUUUAAGAUUUCUCGUUACAUCGAAUCUUGCAAUAUAUGUAUGAAGCAUUAAAUAUAGACCAAAACAAAAACUAAUUGCAAAAUUUGCCUGUAAAUCGCGAGAUGAAUCUUUUGAUCCUAGUUAGUCCAUGAUUGGACAAUAAUUGUCAAAUAAAAAUAAAAAUAUUACCGCACCUAAAACCAAAAAAAUUUGACAACUAAAUAAGGCCUACAUCUCCUACUGGAUCCACCGCUUCGUUCACACAACGUGGGGCUUUACCGCAGCUUAUUCACUGGGCUGAGCAGAGGCAUAUCAUUACUUUUCCAAUAUAAUUUUCCAGUAUAUAUACUAGGAAAUAAUUCACUGGUUUUUAAAUUGUUACAAAAAGAUAUGCAAGGAUAAGCAGCUCAGCACGGGCCUGCCUGUUAUUUCAGUUUCAUGCCUCUCAGUCUUUUUUUUUUCCUUUUAAUGUACUGCGCAGCGGAGGAAGUUGUUGGCUGGUGAAGACAAUAUGGAGAAAAGCAGCGACUAGGAGAAACAGGAAUAGUUCAGAUAAGCCUCCAAACGUGCCAAUCUGAAUACCUUUGCCAUUGCGUGUUUUGUUGUUAAAUGAAUUGAAAAUAAAUAAUACCUUAAGUUAAUUAAUGGUCUGUUUUGUUCAGUUGUCAGUUGUAAAAAAUCUGUUGUAAGCAAGCUAUGAAAAAAACUAUUGUAAGCUAUAUGCUGUAAAAAAAGGUUGUAAGAUGUUUGGUUUUAACUAUAAAACCUACACUCUCUCUUUCAUCUCCCUUAAAAAACAGCUGUAAAACAUCCGCUUCAUUUUUACCCAUUUGGAAAAGCUGAAAGCUAAAAGUAGUGUCCAAGAUGCUAACCCAAAUAUAGCCCCAAGUCAAAACUCUACGUUCCAAUUGCAACUACAAGAAGCAGGAUCGGAAACACGUUGUUCUCUUGUCUAAAACAAGUGAACCUUGACUGGAGGUAGCUUUGGCUACAACAGGCAGGGCGUACCUAAGAUUUGGAGGCCCCUAAACGAAAUACAUUUUGGGGCCUAAAAUUUCAAAAACAAAACAUUAUAAUCAAAGCAUAUUUUCACUAUAACGCAAAGGAGCCAAGCAGGCCAGUGGAAAUGGUCACUGGGCCUUAUGUUGGUGAAUUGGUCCAAUAAACAAAACAGCAAUUGCAGGCCUGUUUGGAUGUGCCACAUUUUAUUUUCUAUUUAAAGGAUUAUUAGCUAUUGUUAAUGACUUAGUCUAAAUUGGGGGACCCUUAAAUUUUGGGGGGGCUCAACAGUUGCCCACCCUAAUCCUAUCAAUCUGCAGGUCUGACCACAGGUAUCCUGCUCGAAUAGCAUUGCACCUGCGUAUUAUAAAUUGUAAUCGAACAAAAGUGGCCUUUCUAACACGUAUAUCACCAUGUUAACCAAAUGAGAACGUGUUGAAAAUUUUCAUAAUUUUAUAAUUGAGAGGUUGGAAAUUUCCAAUCUGAAGAUGCUACGUGUUGAAGAUUUUCAUAAUUUAGUUUAUUAUAUACUCCCUUCAAUAAACAUUACUUAUAUUUUGACUUAGCAUGCUCUUCGAUUGACCAUUUUUUUCAAAUUAUAUUCCUCAAAUAUAAGAGAUUUAUCAAAUAUCUUAUAUAUUUUGACACAUGGCACAUAUAAGGCCCCGUUCGGUAGCAUUUUUUGGAGCUACUCGCCACGCAGCUAUGUGGCACCACCAACAAAUGGCUGAGGGAUUUUGCUCUGUGCUGCUCCGGUCGUGAUUUGCAAUCUUUGUAGUCGCGAGAGUCUACAAGAGCCAAAAAAAACUUAUCUUCCACCGUUUCGUUGUCUAGGCACGUGGGGCUCCCCAAAAUCCCUAACUUCAUGCAAGUGAGGCCCAGAGUGGACAGAGAUGCCCUGACGGACGUACAUGAAGAUGUCAGGUUGGAUAGAGGUGAUAGGGGCGGAGCCACCGGUGCGAUGGUGGCCAAGGCACCACUCUGGGUGAGCAGAGGUGUGAGGGACAGGGCAUGGUCGUCGGCCUUAAAGGGACUAUGUAGGAGUCAUCGGACAUAGGAGGUGGGCAGAUGACUCUAAAGAGGUGGCGCGAGUGAACAAGGAAGAGAGAGGAAGAAAAAGGAGAAAUAUGAGAGGAGGAAAACAUUGAAGGAAGAAAAAAAAAGAAAUAAGGAAGGAUAUUAUUAACAUUUCACUUUUUUAUGUACCCAUGGAGUAGUUUUACCAUACCUUCAUCAAAACAACUUCAAUUCCAAUUUUCUCAUGGAGCUAAAGUAAAGCAUAGUUACACCAAACAAAAGGCUAACUAUAACAUAUAUAUGUUUCCAAACUAAAUAAUAUAGAAGUUAUUAAUGUUUCUGAUUUUUAAGACUUGACUAAAUCUUAUCACAAACGACAAGUUCUUAUGCUAGGAUAGUACUACAAAAAAGACUUAUAGAGGCAGCUAUUUGUAGAGUAGGUGUUUGGAUCGCUGUGUGUAUUCUAGAGGUAGCUAUUGAACCGCCUCAACAGGGAACAAAAAAUCAGUCAUCCUAAAAGAUUAAAUUUCUAUAUAGCUAUGUUUUUUAGAUCAUUUUAGGGCUUGUUUAGAUCAAAAAACUUUUUGGAUUUUGACACUGUAGCACUUUCGUUUUUAUUUGACAAACAUUGUCCAAUCAUAGAGUAACUAGGCUUAAAAGAUUCGUCUCGCGAUUUACAGACAAACUGUGUAAUUAGUUUUUAUUUUUAUCUAUAUUUAAUACGUCAUGCAUGUGCCGUAAGAUUCGAUGUGAUGAGAAAUCUUGUAAAGUUUUGGGUUUUUUGGGUGUAUCUAAACAAGGCCUUAUAUAGAAAUUUGUAAACCUGACAAAAGUAAACAGCAAUUUCUAUUUUGGCCUUGUUUAGUUCCGAAAAAUUUCGGAUUUCGCUACUGUAACACUUUCGUUUUUAUUUGACAAAUAUUGUCCAAUCAUGAACUAACUAGGAUCAAAAGAUUCGUCUCGCGAUUUACAGACAAACUGUGUAAUUAGUUUUUAUUUUCGUCUAUAUUUAGUGCUUCAUGCAUGUGCCGCAAGAUUCGAUGUGACAGGGAAUCUUGAAAACUUUUUGGAUUUCGGAGUGAACAAGGCCUUUGAAGACAUCUCACAUAGGCCCAAUAGGGCCCAAUUUUCAAUAAGCCCACUUCUCACCAUAUAACGCAGGAAAAACCUCAAGAACCCUAGGCUUUUCACUAGGCAAAGCAAAAUGCAGGCCGCUUCCCUCCGGCGAGCUCUCCAUCCGCGGCGACCGGGAGCCGCCCAGCUCUUCCCCUUUCCCGUAGGCACCAGGCCCGGGGCCUUCUCCGCGUCCGCCGCGGCAGCGCACUCUCCCAAAGACGCUCGUAAUGCGCCGCCGCCGAUUAUGCCGACGCGGCCGUGGGGGGAGGCGCUCGCGGCCGCGCAGCGCGCCUUCUGCCUGCCGCUCGCGGGGCGCGUCCUCGCUGCCUCGGCGACCGGGAACGCGGCCGUGGCCCCCGUUGCGGUCCACGCCUCGCUCGCCCUGGCCGCCGCCGGCGCGCGCGGCGACACGCGGCGGCAGGUCCUCCAGGUGCUGGGCGGCGGCGGCGGGGGAAAGGGCGCCGCGGCUGACGCGGCCAACGUGGCGUCGCGGGUGGUCAAGCGGGUGCUCAAGGACCGGUCCACGUCCGGCGGGCCACGGCUGGCCUUCGCGGGAGGAAUAUGGGCCGACACCUCGACGAACCUGUCGCCGGGGUUCGUGGAGGCCGCCCGCAGUGUGUACAGCUCCACGGCGAGGACGGCUGACUUCAAUAACAAGGUGUGGCAUAUUGUGUCAUUCCCGCUUUUAUGACUUGCUUAUUAGGUGCUUGAUAAUAUGCUUAUUCCAGGGGUCGCUGUAGCAGAACAUCUUAAUUUGUUGUUUGGAGUUAUUGCAAUUCCUCACUAAGUUUCUUUUAUAGAUGGUAUUUGACUGAACUGAGCCAAGUAGUUUCAAUUGGUCUAAUGUUGUUUUUACUGCUGAUCUCUGCCUAUGCACCCUUUUCUGUUCAUCUCCUUUAUCUGAUAGAAUUGGUAAUUGGAGAGCUUGUGGUGACAAAUAUGCCCACUACCUAUCUUAAUUGCUGUAAAAAAAUAUAUACUAUGGUGUAUAUGUAAAGAAAUUUCACUUGAACUAUUAUAUUUUUUAGCAGCAAACUGCAACCAUGUGAUGUAUAUUGUUGUUUCUAUGGUUUUUCUUUUGAAAUUCUUAACUCUGAAAUUCGCAAGUUUUCUGUUCUAUUGAUUUUUAAAGCCUGAAGAUGCUGCUAAGCAAAUUAACAUGUGGGUCAAAGAAUCCACAAAAGGCACUGCUACCUCGCUUCUUCUGGAUGGAUUAAUUGACCAGAAUACAGGACUUGUUAUUGGCAGUGCACUGUAUUUUAGGGGAAGAUGGCUUGAUCGGGCUGAUAUUAGGAGUACUGCAGUGCAAAAGUUCUGCUGUCUGGAUGGAACUUGUGUUGAGGUCCCUUUUGUAGAAUAUGAUAGAACUCGACCUUUCGCAGUUCAUGAUGGAUUUAAAGUGAUCAAGCUUCCUUAUCAGCAAGGAAAGAAUGAACGGAAGUUCUCCAUGUACAUCUUCCUACCUGAUGCUCAUGAUGGCUUGUUUGAAUUAACGAAGAAAAUUUUUGCGGAACCAUCAUUCUUAGAACAUCAUUUGCCAACUGAGAAGCGACAUGUGGAUAUCAGGGUUCCCAAGUUCACAGUAUCGUUCCAGGUUGAUAUGAAGGAAUUUCUGAAAGAAAUGGGCCUUGAACUACCCUUCCUCCGUGAUGCAGAUUUCACUGAUAUGGUCAAGGAAGAUGAAUCCAGAAGUCCAUUGUAUCUAUCUGACAUACUUCAUAAAGCAAUUUUGGAGGUUAAUGAUAAUGGGAUAAAAGAUACUUCUGUGACAAUGGGCAUAGGCAAGCCCCGACCAGGAGAGCACUUUGUUGCUGACCACCCUUUCUUCUUUGUCAUUAAGGAGGAGGUGUCUGGCUCAGUAAUCUUCAUGGGGCAUAUAUUGGACCCUUCAUCACAAUCUUAACUUCAGUCUCUGUUUUUUUGUCAGCUAUUACAGGUAUAUCUUGUAUAAUCUCUAACUUUGCUAGUCUGGAUCAAUGAGUUUUUAGUACUCAAGUAAUUCAUCUAGUGGUUUGUAGUUGUUUGCUUUGUUUUUAAUAACAUGCGGGCAGAUAGUUACUAAAAUAAAUUUAUAUUAUCUUGUGUGCGAAACCAUGUAAUAACAAUGCAUAUAUGUCUCAUUUAUAUCAAUUUUUCUUUGCAGAAAUCUCUAUGGUCUUGUCCAAUUUAUAAAAGAAAUUUCUUUAAUCAGAAAUGUUUGUUUAUUCUUGUGGAUUCCACCUAUACCUUUUCUAGUUUAUCUAUGUAUGGAUUCAUAAUUUAGUAUCUGGUCCAAUAUAUAUUUGUAUGUAUCUUGUCUCAACAUUUUAUGAAUUCUUGAUCAGUCUUUGGUCAUGCUAUUUUUCAUGGAGUUGUUUCAGUUACAUGUUCAUAUAGAAGAUUGCUUUUUAUUUACUUUUUCCUACCAGGAGCAAGCUGCUAAGCUUAUUUACAUAGAGGUUUUGAUUUCAUAUACGAAGGGGAGCCUUGGCGCAUGGUAAAGCUGCUGCCUUGUGACCAUGAGGUCACGGGUUCAAGUCCUGGAAGCAGCCUCUUGCAGAAAUGCAGGGAAAGGCUGUGUACAAAAGACCCAAGUGGUCGGACCCUUCCCUGGACCCUGCACAAGCAGGGAGAUCCGUGCACUGGGGCUGCCCUUGGGCUGCCCUUUUUUUGAUUUCAUAUACCCAGUCUGCCUCCAUGCUGACUGCCGCCCCCAUCCCUGCCUCUUUCAUGCUGCAGGUUCCUAUCCAGUCUCCUCUGUCCUCAAGUCGCCCACCGCCACUGCCCGCAUGCGCCCGCCACCCUACUCCGUCUGCCACUCCUUCCCCACUGGUCACCUCCCCCAAAUGUCUCUUCCUCCCCCACCACUGUCCAAUGUCCGCGUUGCCCCUACAUAUCCCUGCCUUAGGUGGACCUGCCUGCCUUCGGCUGUUGAUGGGUUGCCUACCCCCUAGGUUAGGGGAUACCCCAACGCCCAACGCAGAGGCAUUCCCAACCCAGCACGGAAGAGUGCCGAUUUGAACACUGGGUAUAUGAAAUAAAAAAGGCACUCUUCCGUGUUGGGUUGGGAGUGCCUCUACGUUGGGCGUUGGGGUAUCCCCUAACCUAGGGUGUAUGCAACCCAUCAGCAGCCGAAGGCGCGCAGAUCCACCUAAGGCAGGGAUAUGUGGGGGCGACGUGGACAUUGGACAGUGGUGGGGGAGGAAGGGACAUUGGGCAGAGGCAAAGUUCCGCUAGGCGGCGACUGGCCGUGAUUAAUCACUGGGUGAGGCCCGUCGCCUCGACUAGGGGUAUAGGCGGAGGCCUAGGGCGCGGCAGCGCAAAUCGUUGACUCCGUGGCGCCUAGGCGCUCGAGGUGGGCGUGUACGCGGACGACGCGGCCUCGCGCGUGGAAAUUUCCGUCGCCACAGAAGCGCGUGCGCUAAUGGCGUCGGGCGCGGGAAAAUUAGGCACGCGCGGGAAGUAUAAGACCUGCUCCCGCUCGCAGACGCCGCUACUGCUCGUCCUCCUCGCCUGCGACGGUGCGCCGGAGGGCACUUCACCUGCCGGCCUAGCUCCUCUGCCUCCUCCCCGCCUGGUCCGGUGAGGUCGCGCUGCUCGUCCCUGCCGGCCGCACUUCUCGUGGCCUAGAACUCCUUCCCGCCGGCCGCCGGUCACCUCUUCCCCGCCUGUAAGCUGCUUGCCUGCACCCCGCCUGCUCCCUGCUCGUUGCUCCCCUGCCCUGCUGCUCUCUGUUCUGAACUUUUGAUUUCUGAAUAUUGAAUACAUGAAGUCAUGUGUGCUAUGAAUCUGCUCUACUCUGUUCUAAACUUCUGAUUCCUUUGUUACUCUGAAACUGAAUGCCUCCCCUGCUCCUCUCCUCUGAUCUGAAUGCCUGAUUUGAAUGCUAUGCAUGUGAAUGUGAAUGCUUGAUCUGAAUUUGCCUGCUGCGAAUGCACAUAAUCUUGCUAUAUAUAGUUGUAUACAUAAUAAAUAUAAAAAUUAUGGCUAUAUUGCCAAAAGGCCUAGGAAAAUGCCUAGGCGCGAUUAAUCCUGAUUAGUCUCUAGGCUAGGGGUCAGCGCCUAGAUACCACCUGGCGCCUAGCGAAACUAUGGGCGGAGGUGACCAGUGGGGGAGGAGUGGCAGGCGGAGUUGGGUGGCGGGCGCAUGCGGGCAGUGGCGGUGGGCGACUAGAGGACAGAGGAGACUGGAGAGGAACCGGCAGCGUGAAAGAGGCAGGGAUGGGGGCGGUAGUCAGCAUGGAUGCAGGGAAUGGGAGCGGUGGGCGGUAGAGAUGCCGACGGGGGCAGCGGGUGGUUUUUCCAGUUGCGAGUCAUAGCUGCACGGGAGUAGUGUGAAUGGGUAAGGUAGGAAUUGAGUUUAGUGAUAGGUUUGCUGUUCAUACUUGGGCUAGGGCUGUUUUCAUUCAUGGGCCUUUCUAUAUAAUGCUUAGCGCACUAGUCUCCUGUUUCUUCUUUUUAUUUUAGAUUUUUAGAGGUAAAUAUGCAUAGGGAUAAAACGCCAACACCUUUUGUAACCUUGCAUAUACCAAUGGAGAUGAAAAUAUGUUCUGUCAAAUUUCAGAAUAAUAUCAUCUCUGUUAAUAUAUUUAACUUUGAUGACAUUUACUUAACAAAUUAACAGGUUAGAUCGUCUUCAAUGGUAGCCUGCAAGGUGUAUUGCUAGCUGGGAACACUGGUGACCUAACAUUCAACUAAAGGAUAAGAAUUUCUUUGGCACCAGCAAAGCGAGGAAAAGGUAUUGCCAUCUCACCACUUGAAAUUAUACCUGUGCCCAGAAACACUAAGAAUGGUAAUGAUUGGUAUGCUCAUUGUGAGCAGAGUGGCCUGACCCUGCUGACCAAAUAAGACAAUAGAGUUAACAAAUAUUACAAAGUCUAAUGGUGUGGAGAUAUCCUUGAACUGAGGAGUGAAGAAAACAGAGGAAUGGUGUGGUGCUCUUUUGUUGAUGGCUUCAUGCCCCUCUUUGUGCGUGGUGUGCUAGGAAAGAUCUGUAAUAUUGCAACUUUGUGCUGACAGUUUAAUGAGGGAUCAUGAUCAACCAUUUUUUGGUGUUGGUGCGCCUUUUAUCUCCUCUCUGUUUUGUGUGGCAUUUUAAUCUAAAUCCUAGAUCGUUGUCUUCUUGCUUCUACAUAAACUCUUUUUCGAUAUCUUAAUUGAAAGGCAGAGCUUCUGCCAUUACUUUCAAAAAAAAAUUGAUGAGGCUUGGUGACCUUAUAGUAGUGAUGAAAACGGAUUGGAUACGGACGGAUAUCAUCGAUAUCAUAUUUGUUUUCAUAUUUCUGAUCGAAUUUGGAUUUGAAUACGGAUAAUAUCAACCAUGUCAGAUAAGAUAUGAUUAAAUGUUAACAUCAUAAAUAUGUUAUUUAAGUAUUCGGAUACGGAUACGGUAUCAGAUGUUAAAUAUUCGGAUUUAGAUAUGGACAGCUCUAAAUCUAUCUAAACGAAUUUGGUCUCGAAUACGGUCGGAAAAUAUCCGUACUGUUUUUAUACCUACCUUAUUAGGGUCUACAAAGGAUGCCUCCCUUUGUUCUGAAAAGUGGCUUGCAUUUUAUCUGACCAGUACAGUUUUAUUAGUUUCCUUUAUUCCCUUCCAUAUUGCAUAUAGCCAGAUCUAGUUAUUGAACACGUUAAGACUAUGCAUUAAUAAAUAGUCCCUCCAUUUCGACUAUGCAUUAAUAAAUAGUCCCUCCAUUUCAAAUUAUAAGAUGUUUUAUCUUUUCUAUAUAUGUAUUUUUUUUUAAUUCUAGAUAUGUAGGUUUUACUAUGUAUUUGGAUAUAUAUUAUGUCUAAAUACAUUGUCAAAGCAAUAUAUCUAGAAAAGCUAAGAUAUCUUAAAAUUUGGAACAGAGCAAGUAAACACAAAUAGUUAAAUACCAUACCACCUAUAUGAAAUAAAAGAUGUGAACGCGUUGAACUUUAGUCAUAGAAAAGAACACGCAUGUACGUAGGAUGGUACAGCUGUUUUGAACAGAGAAAAUGAGCAUCCCCAUCCGUAGCUUUAAAAUUGUGAAAUGAACAAAAUCGAAGUAACAUCUUGAUCGCCCAAUAAUUUUCCUGGUUGUGCACCUUGCACUUGCACGUUUCAUUGUUGACUGUCCACAUUUUGUACAAAAAGGAACCUUUACUCCGGCUGCACAAUCGCUGGGCUUGAUUCCUACGUAUAAUAACGUAGGGCAGCAUGCCGUUGCGCUUGCGCCCACCCCGCCGCAAUCCCCAUGGCCCAGGGGCAUUGUGGCCCAAUUCUUUGCCGACCAGGUGGACGUCCACCCACCCCGCCGCCGGAACCGCAAGACCAAAGCUCUUUCUUGGGUACCUGGAGGUAGCGGCUCGCCGGCGAGGUGAGGUACCACCAAAACGGCAGCCUGUCACACCCAAAUUUAAGGAUAAAUUUGAGUGUGCGCUUCAGGAAUAGUCGCGCACACAAGUCGACAAAUUACAGAAGUAUCAUCACAAGUGUCUUACAUAACGAUUAUUACAACACGAACAUCAAAAUCUGGCAACGAGCGGAAAUAAAACUCAUAUCUAACUGUAACUUAGUAGCUCCAACACAGGGACGACCGACUGGUGGAUCGCCAACAUAGAAAUCCUUCGAGAACCUGGAGGUAGCGCUCGCCGGCGAGGUGAGUACCAGGCGCACACCACCAAAACGGCAGCCAGGAGAGGGUCGUCGACGGCAAAAGAUAUCCGCAAUCUUUCAGGCGCUGGGAGAGCGAAGAAAAAACACGAUUUGGAGCAAUGCAGUCCGUGUAUAUUUCUGCAGCGUCGGGUCAGUAAAUUUCCCCGGCGUGAUCGGAUCGGAUUGUUAAGACUUAAGAGUUGUUGGAAGCUAGUAUCUUUUUUCUUCCUGAUGUUAUAACCUAAAAAAAACAACUUGUAAAAAGGCCAACUUUUUCAAUGUUUUUGUGUUAGGAUUGGGUUUGAGCUACAUACAAAUUCCCUACUAUUUGUAAAAAGGCCAACCCACUGGAGACAUAAAGCAUCCAUUUGUAGUUUUUAGCACCAUCAGGAUAAACAUAGUACUUUCGCUUCCUAUUACCGUCAUGAUCACGACACCUUGGGAGAAGAUUUUUUGUCAGCUCUUAUAAUCUGAAUAUUUCAGAUAGCUAUAUUUUCUUGAAUUCUUAAGGUAGAAGAUGCUGCUGAGCAGAUCCAAUUACGGAGUGACAUGUGAAAAUUUAGAAGAUCCCAUUUUUAGAUCAACAUGAAAGAAUCUAAAUAGAAAAAAGGAAUAUGUGUUGCGAGAAAUUCCUAGGUAUGGUCAAAUAACAGGUUCUAGCCUUUAAUAAUCAAAUAACAGGUAAAUCUUGUAUUGACCACUAACAAUUGUAAUCUGCCUCAUUCAAAUUUUGGUACACAAGUAAUCCGGGUACUGAAAGGUUGACUGUCCAUUGCCUCUCAAAUACACAGCUAGACAAAAUUAAGUCAAUCAACAACUUCUGCUUCUCCUUUUUUAUUUAAAUAAAUAUAUACAUCUGUUCGAUGACACUUCACAAAUCUUAUGUUCGGGUGAUGCUUGAAAGCGUUAUCUUCAGGCCGUGUUUAGUUCCUAAUGAGAAAAAUUUCGCGACACUGUAGCACUUUCGUUUGUUUGUAGUAAUUAUUGUCUAAUCCUGGACUAACUAGGCUCAAAAGAUUCGUCUCGUAAAUUCCGACCAAACUGUGUAAUUAGUUUUUAUUUUCGUCUAUAUUUAAUAUUUUAUGCAUACGUCUAAAGAUUCGAUGUGACGGAGAAUGUUGAAAAAUUUUGGGUUUUGGGUGAAAGUAAACAAGGCCUCAAUCAGAACAUGAAGCAGAGUUUUUUUUUAAGGAGAGUUGGUCCUAGUAGACUCAUGGACAUGAGUCGCCUCUAGCUGAUCAAAACCGAGGAAUUUCUCUGCCAAUGUCAAUGGAAAUCAUCACCACCUCACCACUUAUUAUGGAUUCUCUUUGUGACAUGUUCUGUAAACAUCGCUAAUGAUUGAUCUAAGAAACAAAUGUACAAAAAGCAGCUACCUCAUCCAGGUACUGCUCAGAAAAUCAUGCGGAAAGCAAUAUCAGAUGAUGGCAUCUAACAAUACUUCUUUUGCUUUCUUCAUGUCCAGUUUGCAUAUUUUGUUGCUUCCUCACUGCACUUCUGUUCGAUCGCAACACUACACCGACAAUCUAAUCAGCACCCAUACUUGUAGCUGCACAAUGUGUGUAUGUAUCUGCAGGAUUGCUCUAUGUCGGUUCACGUAUAGUGCGGUGAUGUGGACUUGUCCAUGUUUGGUAGAUGUGAUGUGGACUUGUGAUGAGGUUGGGUGGCCUUUUGGUCUGGAAGAAAGGGAUGUCUCUCCCCUUUGUACCGAAAGCCUGCUGUGCCUUUUGCCGACUUCCAGUUUGCUACCAGUUUCUGGGCGUUUCUGUUGUUAAGUUGACACUGACUGGGCGGCAAAAGGGUGUGUUUUCUGCAUAUAUAAUAACAAGCGAAAGCACUAUGUUUUAUUUUUAGUAAAUCAUCGUCGUUUUUCUAUUUUUGAUUUAAGGUGAAUUGCUAGUGUUGUCAUUUCGUUGUUGUAACUUCAAUACGUUGUGCAACGAGAUAUGGGGGUUACGGAUUACAGUACGUGUUUGCAUCAUAUAGUCUGGCAAUAGGCUGCAUAUGUGCUUGUUUUUAGACACAGGAGAAUGUUGGGGUUUGGUCUCACAUUACUUGGCAUAUUGUGUUUAGCCCUUUAGAGCGUGUUUGGGCUACUCCAUGAACUCUGCUCCACAAAUUCUACCAUGAAUCAACUCCAUGAAAAAUCUAGAGUUUGAACUGAGUACAUGGACUUGAACCUGUUUGCCUAGAAAAAUAUAGAGUGGAACCUGCUUAGCUAAAAAAAACUAUAGAAUGUUACAUCCAACUUAAAAUCAGGUGUGCUUUAUAUACUUUUUAGAGCCACAUCAUUUUUGUCUCACCAUGCUUGAUAAGAACUACCCAUAUAUAAAAUGGUUCUCUACGGAGACCCUCUAGAAUUCGAUAUCUAGAACCGGUUGAUAAUAACUCUAUAGAAAUACCAAACUGGGUGGUAUUUUUACAGCUCUAGCAGGCCCUCUACUGUUCUCCAAACUUGUUGACCUUCUAUUUUUCCCCCUCACCACCCAUUCAUGUUGGCCCCUUACUCGUUUGUUUACCCCUUUUUCCUCUGGCAUUUGUCCUUUGCCCGACGCAUCCCCCCUCGGCCCCUCCCUACCGGCGUCCCUGCCUGGCGUGGCCGCACCGUCGACGCUGGGCAGGAGGCAGCACGGCGGGCUCUGGCGCCUCCACGUCUGCAGGCACCUCCUCCCUGGCCUCUUUCCAUCGGCGGGCACGUCUCCUUCCAGGCGGCAUCUUGCUCGAUCGCAUGAAGGAUUUAGAAAUCGUUUUGAAAAAGAUUUGAGUCAUGUAUUGAGAAUAUAAAAAAUUAUCAAUAACUUUUAAUUUGUUAAGUUUAUAGAUAUAAAAGUUAUAUAAAUAGAUUUGUCAAGAAAAAAAUACUUUCAUAAAAAUACAUAUAUUAUUCUUUUUCUAAAUAUUUUUAUAAAAAUAAGAGGUCAAAGUUGUAUAUUGAAGACUGUGCCGCUGUCUUAAACGACUUUUAAUUCCUAUACGGAUGGAGCAUGUGUCUUAGGUCAAUCUCAAUGAAAGUUUUAUUAGAGUUUCAUACACAUUAAGUAUGCUGAUAUGACAUUGUAUUAAUAAAAAGAGAUGAUAAGAGUUUUAUGGGCGUAGAGAAAGUUUUAUCCUCAUAAAACUCUUCUACAUUAUUUCUAAAAUAUAAAUAUAUUGGAAACUAAGUCAUGAAACCCUACUAAAAAUGACCUUAGAGUAUCUCCAAGAGACUAGGUAAAAUUAUAUUCUAAACUACAAGAUUUAGUCAUUCCGUAAAAUAAAAAAUUCACUCAAAACAUAGAGUUCCACAACAACGUUUGAGAAUAGCUAGUGAGGAUGACAUGCUAUAUAUGAUAAGUGAAAGUUUAGAAAUAGCAAAUUUGCUAUUUUAGCAAACUAGAUAGCACACAUAUUGAACUUUGAUUUUUACUUUAAAAUAUAAAAAUAACCUAAAUAACAUGGAUAAUAUAUAUCCGUUGGUAUUACUCUUACCAGAUCUCCCUAUCAAUCGCACCUUCUCCCUAACUCUCUAGUGGCCUCCCCCGCUGGUGGGCGGUGUGCCCCUUUCCUGCCUCGAAGGAAGGCUGAGUUUUUCGAUGACGGCAAGGGAACGUAAAAGUUAUACGUGGGUUUCCCAUAGCAUUUACUAUUAUGAUAAAUUUGGAAGGCUUGUUUUAUGUAGUGCUGCUGAAAUUAAUAAAAAGUUAAGAAGUAUUAACAUAUAGGUUACUACCUAAAUAAACAAGUAAGUAGGGAGUCUGAUUGUCAGAGAUGCUCUUAUCUUGCGGCCAAUGCCUAGAGUAUUAAAUAUAAUUAAAAAUAAAAACUAAUCAUACAGUUUACCUGUAAUUUAUAAGACGAAUUUUUUAAGCCUAGUUAGUUUUAUGAUUGGAUAAUAUUUGUUAAAUAAAAACGAAAGUGUUGCGGUACCUAAAAUCCUAAAUUUUUAUCAACUAAACAAGCCUUAUAAAACUACUGGUGAUAAGUAAACAUACCUGGCAGUGGCGUGUGCCUCCGCUACGUCUAUAUGCUCCUGAAAAGCAGCCCGGCACACAUAUUGUGAUCAAUUGUCCUGGCACGGCUUGGAUGGAUCCAGGAUUCGAGAUCCUUUCGCUACCUACUACUACUACUCCCUUGAUACCAAAUAUAGGACGCUAGACUCUUUUUGAACCUAAAUUUGAUUACUCAUUUUAUUCAAAAAAAUUAUACAAAAGUAGUCAAAUUCAAGUUAUUUUUAAAUAACUUUUAUUAAUAAGUCAAACCGUGACAAAAAAAAAUAAUAUUUUAUAUAAAUUUUUAAAUAAAACGAGUAGUCAAAUUUAAUAUUGAAAAAGCUAAACGUCUUAUAAUUUAGAAUAGAUUGAGUAGUUAUUUUCUAUAGACGUGUAUAAAGUGGGGAAAAAGGAGGCGCGUCUAGAAUAGGCUUCAAUCUUGUUUGAACAGCUGUGUUGUUAUCAGUAAAGCGAGAUAUCUUUUCUCAAAACAAGAAAAAAAUGAAGGAAUUUAAUCAUUCGUUUAAUUUGGAUCCGAAUCCGACGCUGAGAUUCUACUAUUCUACGCACUUCGAUGGCACGUCCCCAAAAAGUUGGUGCUCCUUUUUUUAUAAUAAGGAAGUUGAUACUCCUUUGACCUCAGCAUGACACAUAAUAACGAAUCAUAGCUACAUUGAAAAACUUGCAACACUUUUACUUUCUCGAGUCUUUUCACCCAUCUUGAUUUUAUAGAGGCAUGGGAGAAUCAUUGGUGGGGUAAUUUGGCCGACAAGGUGAGGGCACGGGAUACUUUAGUUAUUGUUUUAUUUACAUAUUCCCUCCAUAUCUAAAAAGAUAAUUAUUUAGGACAAAGACAUGGUCUCUAAAAUCUACUUUUAACUUUUUAUUUUUAUUAAAAUAUUUUAAAUAUGGUAUAUGUAUAUUUUUAUAAAAGUAUUUUUUAAUACAAAUCUAUUUAUAUAGUUUUCACAUUUCUGAACUCCAUAAUUUAAAAGAUAUUCAUAAUUUAUAUUUCUAAUGUUUGACUCAAACUUUAUUCAAAACAACUUUUUUAUGGGUAUGAAGGGAGUAUAUAUGUAAGGUUGCUUGUCUCAUAUCAAAUCAAAAUGUAUAAAUAUAUACUACUACAAAAUAUAUUUUUUUCAUACAAACCAAUUUAUUUUCACAGACAACAAGCACCUCUGCUUCUGCAAAUACCUCUAGCAUUUUCAGAUACAGCCUAGACGGGUCUCCGGAAAUCAGUGGCGGAGCCAGAAAUUUUAUAUAGAGGGGGCCGUGCUACCAAAAAUACAUACAAUAUAAUAUGAAUCCCAAAAUAUAUACAUAGGGAUUAAUCAUGCAUUAUGUGUCUAUAUAUCACUAAAAUCACCAUUAAUUGUACAUGCAACAUGUCUAUAAUGUAAAAAACAGAAAAAAAAAUGGUACAUGCAAGUUAAUCGCUGAUGAUGAGUUGUUGAUUGCUCUGGAGCUUCCAUUACUCAAGUGUCCUCUUCUUCUCAGCAAGACAAAACGUUCAGGUUCAAGCGUUAAUUCUCUGGUUUCUAACUCCCACGAUUGAUCCUAAUAAUAUCCUAUUGCUUGGUUUGCUUCAAAUAAAAUAAUCUAUCGACUACUAAAGUGAACUAAAAAUGAACAUACCUGGUCAACAGCUGUGUUCUCCGUGGUUAUAUGGGGUGAUCUGUCGAUCUCUUUCCCAGAUUUACCACAUUAGAUCGUGUACUUUGGCAUUUGGCCUUUGCUCGAUGGAAUUGUACAGACGUAUACAAUUCAUAUCUUUUUGCGGCAGACAUUAGGGGGGCCGUGGCCCCUGCUGGCCCCUCCCUGGCUCCGCCAGUGCCGGAAAUAAAGAACCAACCCCAAUUAUUCCAUCGAGGUCCGAUUUCUCACUCCCAUAUAGAAGUCCCUUAAAUUAGACCAUAGAUUGUCAACAUGGUAACUGUCCUCUCAUCAUCAUUAAGUCAUCAGUGACAUUUGACGGAACAUGAUUUGUUUUGUGGACAGUGGUGUUGUUGUCCCUCGGCAGCUAGAUUCGGUGCCUGGAUUGCGUUGUUGCCAUGUUGUAUAGGUUGCCAAUUGCAUCAUACACGAAACUAUCUGAUAAGGAUAUCACUUGUUCGAAUACAAGCCACAGAGACAGCGUGGGCGUCAAAGUCAUCUAAGUCGACUACUAUAAAAUUUCUUUUGCAUGGUGUUACCUUUUUUAUGAAUGGCGGCCGGCACACCUCCCAACCGCCUCCGUUGUUCCAAGCCAGAUUGCCCUCACAAAGGCCCGUCUCGGUUAAACUUCAUGGUGGAGUCCCAGUCCAACUUAAGUUGAAGUCUAUUUUGGAUUCUGUGAUGCAUACGUACUCUUUCGAUUACCUACCUAUGCAUGAAAAGAUAAUUUUAGAAGCUAGCAAAUGAUGUUGGUUUGACAUUCAAAUGCCACAGUCAACGAGAAUCAUCGAAACAAGUCAGUGUCCAGAAUCAGCUAAGGUGUUGUGACACGGUCUUUUGGUCUAGGAGACCGUAUAUCAUCUUUGAGCCCAUUAAAGGGUGCAUCUAGGGAUUUGCACCCACAAGACUUAAUAAUUAGUGACAUCUGCACUCGUUAGGUUUUGAGUUUUGUUUACUUCUUGUUUUCUCAUGAAACAGACAUCAUUUGUAACACUUGUAAUGCCAUGUUCAUCUCCUGUGAAUUAGGACCCCUGUUCUUGUUCUUGUUCACCUGUAUCAACCAGUCCUUUUGAAUCAUGAUUAGAACAUCAUUCUGGAUUGAUGCACUUCAUCUAAUUUGCAAUAAUAGAUUGUGUUCUUCAUGUUCUUUCUUGUGUUCUCGUUUUGCUUGAAGGAAAAGCCUUUUAGGCGAGGUCACGUGUUAUUCAUGGUUGAUAACUAACGUAGCUAUAAUAGUGGUUGUAGGGGUCUGAAUCAUACUUGGUUUGAAGACUGGAUUGUGAAUAUCGGUUCUCCACCAAUCAAAUCUAUCAUACCUAUCGAAAGAUCCACUACCAUGGUACAAAGUUUCAUAGAUAAUUAAAAAGGAUUUUUGGAAUGAGGGCAUGUUGUCCCACCUCCAUCCUACUGCCAUAGUUAAUCAUAAUUUCUAGAGGUAGGCACAUGCUCGCCUCUGGAAAUCAAUUUAAAAGGCAAAAAGGACAGUUGAGCCUACUUCGAGCCUAUUGAGCCCAUAUUGAACCAGGCACCACCACCGUGCCUUGCCUUCCUCACGACAACACUGGAGGCAGGCAAUGCAACCUCGACCACCUCCGUUAAUCAUACAUUAACAGAGGUGGUUAGUUUAAAGGGACCACCUAUGUUAAUAUUUUAAUGGAGACGUCCAAACUAAGACAACUGCUUCCUUUAAUAGCAUUAUUUUCUUAAAACGACCGUCUCCAUUAAUAUUUAAUCGAGGCAAGCCUGCAAACGGGUGAGCGGGCCUGGCCAUGGUAGAAACAAUGGAGGCAGGCACAAAUUGCGCUCGCCUUCAUUCUAAAAGGACAACGCCGGUCCAAAAUAAAUCUUGUAGUAGUACUUGUGUUUAUAGCCACAUCCCUCACCUGGUGAUCUCGAUUAAGGACACCUCUAGUGGUGUCUUAAGCCAGUCUAAGUAGCAGGCUUUCAUAUUACUGUUUUAUUUCUAUAAAAUUUAUUUCAUCUCACAAAACUUUUAUUACAUCUCUUUAUUAAAAUUACGUUACACCACAUAAACUUUUUAACAGUCAUAAAACUCUCGUAAAGCUUCCUCAGUUUAUUUAUUUAAUACCACGUUAGCUUAUUGAGUGGCCAUAUCAGCUUUUUAUUUAUCUUUUCAUUCUACGAGGAAUUCGUCAUGUGUUUUCAGCGCACGGAUCGAAGGAUGCGACGCACGAUCUUUGUCUCUCACCCGUUGUCGGCUUUGUUAGCUCAUCUUAUAAGACAUUCUUUUUCUAUUAGCUAAUAAUAUUUUUUUCAUAAUAAAUUAGUAAACAGUAAUUUUAAUCAUAAAUUGACUUUUCAGAUGCGAACUUAGGCAUUUUUUAGAUGCGAUUUUUUUUAAUUCCGCUACUGUAGCACUUUUAUUUAUUUGUGACAAAUAUUAUUCAAUUAUGGAUUAACUAGGAUAAAAAGAUUUGUCUCACAAUUUACAGCUAAACUGUGUAAUUAGUUUAUAUUUUCGUCUAUAUUUAAUGCUUCAUAUAAGCGUCACAAGAUUCGAUAUGACGGGAAAUCUUGAAAACUUUUUGGUUUUUGAUGUGAACUUAGGCCUUGUUUAGUUCCGAAAAUUUUUGGAAAAUGGACACUGUAGCACUUUCGUUUGUAUUUGACAAAUAUUGUCCAAUUAUGGACUAACUAGGCUCAAAAGAUUCGUCUCGUCAAUUCCGACCAAACUGUACAAUUAAUUUUUAUUUUUAUCUAUAUUUAAUACACUCCAUUCAUACGUCUAAAGAUUCGAUAUGAUAGGAAAUUUGAAAAAUUUUGUGAUAACUAGACAAGGCCUAAACAAAGCCUUACCUUGGUCGGGGCACGCCAGCAGCGCAUACUGAUCUGUAGGCGCGUACGCGUACACGUACCCACACGUAUGGUAUGGAAGAGGCAGCGGCGGUCGCCGUCGCCCCCCUCACGCAUGGUCCUCCAUCUUGCAAUGAGACAAGGCGGCACAGACGAGAGCACGCGCAAUCGCAUGCGGAUGCGGCCGGGCGGCGGGCGGCGGGCGCAUGAAGACGACGCGGCGCCAACAACAGGCCACCAGCUCGGCAGCGACGACGAAUCAGCGAUUAGACUAGUCGACCUGUACUGUACGUCACGCGGAUCCAGCCGUGCAGGUCGACUCCAAUGGAUGGACAUCGAUAGAAACUGCCUGCUGCAUGCAUGCAUGCUUUUGUAGCUUCUCUGCUAAUGGAAUAUGCCAUCGCCGACGGCGACGCGCCAACGCCUGCAUGCACUUCCGUACGUCGUCUGCCUCGAUGCGCUAACUGAAUGUGUUAGGAAGAAAAUAGAUAAAUAAAUAAAGAAAUAAAUGUGUUUUAAGCGUACUUUUUCUACCAGCGAGCAGUGGUUUGCUGUCUUAAUAAAUCAUGGACAAUACUUUCGGUUAUAAAUUUUUAGACAAACGAAUAUGCUUGCGUUUCUAUAGGAGAUUUGGAGAUGCAUUAUUCCAUUUUGAUCAAAGGGAAACCAAUUGAAUGUUUUCUAGGCCUUGUUUAGUUAGCGAAAAUUAAUUUUUGGGUGUCAGAUCGGAUAUACCGGUACACAUUUGAAGUAUUAAACGUAGACUAAUCAAAAAACAAAUUACAUAAUUCGUCUAGAAACUUAAACAAAGUACAUAGUUCGUAUAGAAACUGCAAGAAGAUUUUUUUUUAAGCCUAAUUAAUCUAUUAUAAGUACAAGUUGAUUACUGUAGCACUUACGGCUAAUUAUAGACCAAUUUUGCUUAAAAGAUUUGCCUCGUAAUUUACAACCAAAUCGUGCAAUUAGUUUUUUCAUCUACAUUUAAUACUCCAUGCAUGUGUCGAAAAAUUUCCUAUCACAUUGAAUGUUUAGAUGCAUGCAUGGAGCAUUAAAUAUAAAUAAAAAAUAACUAAUUGCACAAUUUACUUGUAAUUUGGGAGACAGAUCUUUUAAGUCUAGUUAGUGCAUGGUUGAAUAAUAAUUAUACUAAAUAAAAACGAAAGUGUUAUAGUAGCACAACCCAAAAAGCAAGUGGAACCAUUUUGAUUUUGAAUAAAUUACAGAAGAUGUCAAUAUUUCUGAUACUAAAAAAAAGGUAUUAUGUAUUAGGAGUUAGGAUCUAUAUUUUCUUGACUAUACAUAAUUUUUUUUUGUAAAAGAAAAGUAUUAAUAUUUUUAUAUAUCUUGUAUCAAACUUUUAAAAAAGUUUGACUAGGUACAAAUUUAGAGCUUUUGUUUCCCCGGACGCCGGAUCCUGACCAAUCGCAGCUUCCUGGGCCUUGCCUGUGGUCUUGAAAGGAAUUAAACGGCCGUCGUCCUCGUGCGACGAAGACCACCUUUGUUCCCCCGGUGCACCGCACGCGCGCGUCACCCCGACCGCCCAGCGGCAUGCAUGGAUCCCAUCCCUUGGUGGCGCACCGCAGCCGCCGGGCUGGCCGCAACAAGACAAAAAGGCCGUCCGACCCCGCCCACCCACGCGCAUCACACCCGCGUGCGGCCGCAGAUGGAGAUGGCGGACCGCGCGGAGACGGCGACAAGUCGACGGCGACGAAGACUUCCCCCUCGCGGACGCCGGCCGGAGCCCCGGAGCCGUCUCCGUCAAGGCGUCAACUGAAGCGCGCGCCCGCGAGAGAAUUUUUUAAGUUAAGGUAGCACUUUCGUUUAUAUUUUGUAAUUAUUAUUAUAAAUUAAGUCGGUUUAAAAGAUUUAUCUUGCAACAAAUAGUACACUUAGUUAUUUUUGUAAUCUAAAUUUAAUAUUUCAUGUACGUGCGCAAGAUUUUAUGUGAGGAAUCUUAAUUUUUUUUAAACUAAACCAGGCCUUAGUUCAUGCCAAAAUCUAAAAGCUUUUCAAAUUUUCUAUCACAUCAAAUUUUACGGUAUAUGCAUAAAGCAUUAAAUAUAGAUUAAAGAAUAACUAAUUACAUAGUUUGUAUGUAAUUUGCGAGACGAAUCUUAUAAGUGUAGUUAGUCUAUAAUUGGUCAAUAAUUAUCAAAUACAAACAAAAGUGCUAUAGUAGUCAAAUCCAAAUUUUUUCACCAACUAAACAAGGCCUUGUUCCUGAGAAAUUUUGCAAACUUUUUUAGAUUCUCUGUCACAUCGAAUCUUACGGCACAUGUAUAAAGCAUUAAAUAUAGAUUAAAAAAUAACUAAUUGUACAGUUUACCUUUAAUUUACCAACCGAAUCUUUUAAGUCUAGUUAGUUUAUAAUUGAACAAUAUUUAUCAAAUAUAAACGAAAAUACUAUCAUAUCUAUUUUGUAAAAACUUUUGUAACUAAAUAAGACCUUACGCAAAGAAAAAUAAGGCUAGCCUUGUUUAGUUGCGAUUUUUUUUUGAAUUUCGCUACUGUAGCAUUUUCGUUUUUAUCUGACAAACAUUAUCCAAUCAUAGAAUAACUAGACUCAAACGAUUCAUCAAGCGAUUUACAGUCAAACUGUGCAAUUAGUUUUUGUUAUCAUCUAUAUUUAAUGCUCGAUGCAUAUGCCAUAAGAUUCGAUGUGACAGAGAAUCUUGAAAAGUUUUUGAUUUUUGGUGAAGGCCUUGUUUAGUUUCUAAAAAUUUUCAAGAUUCCUUGUCACAUUGAAUCUUGCGGCACAUGCAUGAAACAUUAAAUAUAGAUAAAAAAAUAACUAAUUGUAUAUUUUAUCUAUAAUUUGCGAGAUGAAUCUUUUAAACUUAGUUAGUCUAUAAUUAGACAAUAACUAUCAAUUAAAAAUAAAAUUACUACAGUAGUAAAAUCUAAAAAUUUUCGCGAACUAAACAAGGCCUAAUAAAACAAGCGAGCGGGCUAGGUCCAACUCCGACGGGCCGGGGCUGGUCCAGUCCAACCAACGUCUCCUCCCGUCGUCAGCCUCUGUUCUGUUGGACCAGUCGUGAGACGACAGCGGUCAAUGCAUCACGCAAGCAAAUGCAAAGCCGCGUGCUUCGCUCGGCUGCCACCCACCUCUGGCGCCCGGCGGCGGCUUCUGGCUGUCCUCGCGUGCCUCGACGCGGACGGAUUCCUUCCGAGGCCUUGUUUAGUUCACCGAAAACCAAAAAAUUUUUCAAGAUUCUCCGUCACAUCGAAUCUUGUGGUACAUGCAUGAAAUAUUAAAUAUAGACAAAAAUAAAAACUAAUUACACAGUUUAACUGUAAAUCACGAGACGAAUCUUUUGAUCCUAGUUAGUCUAUAAUUGUAUAAUAUUUGUCACAAACAAACGAAAGUACUACCGUACCGAAAAGUUUUCACUUUUCGAAACUAAACAAGGCCCGAUUCCUCCUAUCGAUUCCUAUGGCACAUGUAUAGAGCAUUAAAUAUAAAUAAAAAUAAAAACUAAUUAUAAAGUUUAUCUAUAAAUCAUGAGACGAAUCUUUUAAACCUAGUUACUCUAUGAUUGGACAAUAUUUGUCAAAUAAAAACGAAAAUGCUACAGUAUCAUUUUCCUAAAUUUUUUUGAAACUGAACAAGGCCUUAGAGCUGACAAAGGAUCAUCAAACUCGUCUUUCUAUAGGAGCAUCUUCAAAAGAGUCUUUGUUCUAUAAAAAUUACUUUUUAUAUUUUUCACUCUCCAACAAUCUUUUUAUUUCUCGUGCGUACUCUAGAGAGUCAUUCUCAUCUUCUAUUUUUUACUAGCGAAAAAUCAAGAAUAAAAAAUAGUUAUAUUUGCAUAACCAUUUAGACAAACUGUGAGAGGGUAAUUUUUCUCUAAAAUAUCAUUUCGUAGCAUUUAGAAAGAAUUUAAAGAGUCUCUUAUAGUCAGUGUCGGUCCUAAGGGGUGGACACUAGGUGCGACUGUCGAGGGCCCAAGCGGAAUGGAAGCCUAAGCCCAAAUAUAUAAGAUUCCAUACUCUUUAGCUAUAGAAUUUAGGAUUAACGAGAAGGUGCAGCGGCUCAUUAGCAAAAAUGAGUUUUUGGUCUCUUUCUGUCUAGGAGCCGAGCCGUCAAUGUCCACAGCCCUGCACACGACACAUAGCAAUCGUGACUUCUCCGUUUCGCACUUCGACACUUGGUGAGACAACGAGACAUAGGCACACCACCGAUCAGAUCGCCACAUGAUCGCACCACCAGUGCCGAUCAGUAACGUUCUAACGCACGAGUUCCAGAAUUCAGACGAUGACAUUCUAGACGACAGCGGCGACUAGGCAGCUCACUAGCUGAGGCAAAGCCUUUUGUUCUUCUGCCCUUUUUAUAAUUUGUGAACGUUGGUUUUAAAUUAAUUUUUGUCUAAAUUGUAUAGGUCCUAGGUUUUUUUUCCUUAUUUAACUUUUGUCUAGUAUUUUGUACUCAUAUAGUUAUAUUUUACUUAAAAAAUUAGUUUAUGAGCCUGUUUCACUUGAACUUAUUUGCCGAAUGUGCCAGCAAUUUAGUAAUAUUUUUCUCACAUAAUAAAUCAGUGAAUAAUAGUUUCAGUUAUGACUUUUUAGACAAGCGAACAAACCUAUAAUAUAAGAUUUUUUUGAUCUACAGAGCCCUUAAAAUCAUAGGACCGACGCUGCUUAGAGUUGCUCUAACGAGCUCAUUCAAAACACAUGCCUUGUAUUCUUAGGGCGUCCCCAAUAGCUCAUACAAAUAGUUGGCUGAUCUUGAUGCCAAAAACAGUAAUAAAAGAUCGCAUAGCAUAGCAGCAGAAUUAGGUUAUAUCUUAGCAUUAUUUUUAAAAAUAGGUCAGUUACAAAUAAACUAUUUACAAUUUUCUUAUAAAAGAUGUAAGAAUUUUUUUUGACUAGCAGCUUUAUUAUACUUAUUUCUUGGAACAAAGGUUUUUUUCUUAUGAAUUUUGGAGUCUUUGGUUCCUUUUUUUUUAUUUUGACAAGGCGUCUUUGGUUUCUUUGGAAAGGAUUAAUGUGAUACCGUUAGGAACAGAGGAACUCUCUGGUUCCCGUUCCUUUAGUAAGUCAACCGGCCAUGUGCAUUUUAUAGGAAAUAAACGGAUAUUUUCCUAUAAAAUGCACAUCUUGUUCCUUGCUCUCUCCUUCCUCUAAUCGAAACAACAAAAAUCUAGACAUUCUUCUCUUUUGGAUUUCUACGGGGGUUCCUGUUUUUGACUACAUCUUUUUUGUGUGUUUUCAUUCCCCACCUCUACGUUCCAAACAAGGCCGGUAAUUUGCAUAAUUUAUUAUUAUUUAAUAUUUUUUUGCAUAGUAGCAUAUGCUGGGAAUUUUAAAGUAAAUUUGAGGAAAUGUUAUAAUUAUUCUUUAUAGCUGUGAAUAGGGAUGAAAACAGUACAGAUAUUUUUCGAUCGUUUUUUAGACCGAAUUCGUUUAGAGAGGUUCAGAUCUAUCGAAUAUUCAAUAUCCGAUACCGUAUCCGUAUCCGAAUACUUAAAUCGUAUAUUUAUGAUGUCGACAUCCAAUCCUAUCUUAUCCGACAUGAUUGACAUUAUUCGUAUUCGAAUCCGAAUCCUAAACCGACCAGAAAUAUGAAAACAAAUAUGAUAUCAGUGAUAUCCGUCCGUAUCCGAUCCGUUUUCAUCCCUAGCUGUGACGUAGGUAGUUAAUAAGCAAAUUUAAUUUUUUUACUGAUAUUAUCUAUUACAAUGACAUAUAGGAGUAAUUUGAUGCAAGUACAUGGUUACUUUAGAUUAUGUUUAAUGACAAAUGUGGACAAUUCCAUAGAAACAUUUUAUGCCUAAUGGUUAUCAUUGUCGAUGAUAAUUGUAGCCUAGCUACUAUGGUGGGUGUUUUUUUGUCUGAGAUUUUUUUAGGAUUUUUUCUAGCGCACCUUAUAAAUAGUAAUGACAUGUUUCAUUAUAAUUAGUAUAUGUAGAGACUCCAUUAGUGCUUAGUAAGAUGGUCCAUCCCACCAUACCUUCCACACCCAUGAUUCUACAACCCUAGUUAUUCUAUAGGAGGGGGAUAUAAAACAACACCAUCCUUCGUUCUGAAUUGGAAACCGAUGCUACCUACUCCCUAUCUGAUACCAUGUUCAAAAAAGGAACAGCCGUUCAUGUGCAUGCCCAAAAGGUGAUGAUGGAUGCAGCAGGCAUGCAACGCCAGUUAUAGCUGACAAAAGGAGCUUAACAACUUCAGAUCUGCCAAGUGAAUACGUUCUGAAGAAAAGGGAGGAAGAUGAGGCAGCACUGCAGGAAAAAAGCUUCCCUUUUGAUCCUUUUGACCUCAGCAAUGCACAUAACGAACCAUGUCAACUUCAGAAACUAAAAUCUUUCCACGAUGUAAUGAUUGAUUCAGAUGACUAUUACAGAUCCAAGCACUCAAACCACCAGAGUAGUAGUAGUAGUUCUCAACAAUUUUUAUCUUUUUAUAACCAAAAAAAAUUGCCCAAUAAUAAUACACAUGAGCAGGUCCUAACAACAAUCCUCACUAGAAAAUUGGAAUUAAAUACGUGAAUGGUGAUUCUUUUCUUCUCAUCAAUCUUUGACACUGAUCUACUAUCAUCUAUGCACAUUGGUAAAAGAAUAUGGAAAACCUUCCAACGAGGAAAAGCCGAAAGCAAAGAUACAAGUAUACAACGAAUACAGAAGAAAGUGGGGGAGAAAGAAAAAAGAAAGAAAGAAUGAAUGAUCUUUUUCCGUCGUGCUGGUCGUCUCGUCAAUCGUUUCACCUGCAUGACGGACGGGCCAUGUGUUGAUCCGCUGCUCUGUCACUGUCGGGUUGUUUGCAAGUCAAUCGAAGGUUUUCUCCCUCACCAAGAAAUCAAGCCGUUCAUCUGAUCACGCGGCAGCGGCAGCAGCAGCGGCGGCAUCGGACAUGUCGGCGGCGAUUGCCUUCUGAUCCCCCGCUCUGGCUUGAUCGCCUUUUUCAACGGGAACACCAUGACCCCAGGAACAGACAGGGCCAUUUGGUGUCCCCAAUCAAUGGCGACGCGCGUGCGGCGGCUUGCUGUUGGCAAGCACCCGCACUCGCACCAUGGUCCAUGGAAGUGGCCGAUGACGCAAUGCGAAUGCCUACGUUUCGUCAACAACGGCUAGUCGGUGUCGGUGAGGUCGAACUGGUCGGUGCCGGAGCGGGAGAGCACGGCGGGGCGGCGGCCGGUGGUGCCGGCGCGGGAGAGCGGCGCCGCCCCGCAGGCGGCGAGCGCGCGCUCCAGGGCGUCCACGACCUCGGUCAUGGACGGGCGGUCGCACCCCACGGGGCCCACGCAGCCGGCGGCGAGGUAGCCCACGUAGGCCAGCGCCUCGGCCUCGUCGGGCGUGGGCGCGGGCAGGCGCGGGUCCAGCACGCGCGCGACGUCGUCGGCGAGGAUGUGCGGCACCGCGAACUCCACCACGUUCUUGGGCGUCACGCUCUCGGCGUAGCGCUGCACGACUCGGCACCCGGACAUGAGCUCCAGGAGCACCACGCCGAAGCUGUACACGUCGCUCUUGUCCGUCAGGUGCUGCAGCCGGUAGUACUCCGGGUCCAUGUACCCCACUGUUCCGCCGGUGUAGAGCGGCUCCUGCGGCGCGCCGUCGUCUCCGCCGCCGCCGCAGGCGCCCGCGCCGGGGUCGAGCACGGAGGACAGCCCGAAGUCGGCGAUCUUGGCGGUCCACGCGUCGUCCAGCAGGAUGUUGGCGGACUUGACGUCGCGGUGGAUGAUGGGCGGCACGGCGUAGACGUGCAUGUACUCGAUGCCCCGCGCCGCGCCCAGCGCGAUGGUGAGGCGGCCCCGCCACGACGACACGGCCGCCGCCAUGGGGCUGCGGCUGUGCAGCUGGUCGUGCAGCGUGCCGUUGGCCAUGAACUCGUACACCAGCACGCGCUCGCCGGAGUCGGCGCAGCAGCCUAGCAGGCACACGAUGUUCUUGUGGUUGGCGCGCGCCAGCGCCGUGAGCUCCGAGUUGAACGCCGUCUCGCGGUCGCGGCGCCGCGCCGGGCGCGCCGCCGCCGAGCUCGACGCCUUGGCGGACUCCUCGGCGCGCUUGAUCGCGACCUCGCGCCCGUCGGGGAGGGUGCCGCGGUACACGGACCCGAAGCUGCCGGUCCCGAUGCGGCUGUCGUCGGAGAACCCGUCCGUCGCGGCGUGGAGCAUGUCCAGCGUGAAGUGCUCCACCACGCUGCCCGGGCCCCUGCUCCUGCUGGACCCGAGCCUCGGCGGCAUCAGCGACUGCAGCGCGCCACCGGAGGCAUCCUGUUCGUUCCCGCGGCGGCGCCGGCGGCGCCGGCGACACCACAGGACCAGCGCGAGCUGCAAUGCCGCCAAGAACACGAGGAAAGCGGCGCCCGCCGCCGCGAUGGCGAUCCACAUGGUCCUCCUGCUCCUGCCGCCGCCGUUCCCGGGGAGGACCGACGCGUUGGGCCUGGCGACGUUGAGCUCGAACGCGCAGUCGACGCAGACGCAGCGGCCCUCGUCGCAGAGGUUGGCGGAGCCCGGCAAGACGCCGCAUUGGCACGAGGACAUGGGCACGCAGGGCCCCGGCAUGACGCGGCCGAAGACGAGGCGGUUGGUGGCGUUGAACUCGGCGCCGCCCCAGCAGAGGAGGGAGUAGUUGGCCAUGAGCACGCCGCAGAAGGCCUUACCGUGCGCGCGCACGUCGAGGAACUGGGCGUGGGCGAGGCCGGGCGGCGGGUGGGCGACGCCGUCGCCGAAGCAGCGGAUGGUGAAAUUGGUGCGCAGGCCGCAGACGCCGGUCUCCCCCAAUGCCAGCGCCGCGUAUCCCCCGGUGCCCGCCGCGUCGUCGACCCUCGGCGGGUCGCGGCCCCAGCACGUGAGCGCCCCCGUCGUGGACAGCGCGCACGCGCGGUGGCCGCGCGCGGCCACGACGUCGAAGCUCCCGUCCUCCGGCGCGGCUUUGACGGCCUGUGCCGCCGUGUCGUUGCCGAAGCAGCGGAUGGAGGCCGGCGUCCCUUUGAGGAUGCCGCAGACGAAGCCGUCCCCGACGGCGGCGUCGACAAAGCGGAGGUCUCUGGAGAUGUUGAGGCCGCGCCAGCGCCAGCAGUGGAGCUCCCCGCUGUCGAGCACGCCGCAGACGCGGUACCCGCCGGAGGACAGCGCCCGGAGCGGCGGGCCCAUGUAGACCCGCUUGGACCUGCUGCCGUUCCCGUUCCCGGACAGGUCCCACCAGCGCAUGUCGACGUCGCCCGCGCGCUCGCCGGACGGACCCACGGCGCAGAGGAAGUCCUCCCCGCCGGCCAGCGCGGCGAACGGGUGCGAGGACGGGUACGUCUCCUGGCGCGCGUGGUCGCCGCCGGCCGCCGUGCAGUUGAGGUCGACCAGCAGCGGCGACGCCGCCGACGGCAGCAGCGCGCACACUAUGGUGGUGGCGUCCGCCUUGGCCAGCGCGAACGUGGACAGCGCGGACGCCGCCGCGCCGGACCCCCGCGUCGCGAGCAGCAGGAAGAAGGCGGGCAGCAGGAAGAGGAAGAAGGCGGCAUGGAGGUGGAGGUGGAGCCGGCGCGGCGGCGGCAUGGGAGUGCGCGGCGGCAGCGUGUGGGGAGGAGGAGGAGGAGGGGGAGCGGCAGGCGGGAGGACAUGGUAAGGCAGCAGCCGAGGCGGGCGUGGGGUGGGACAGGUGUGAGCGGCCGCGUCAGGUGGUGGAUUUGGCCUUGUUUAGUUCGCAAAAAUUUUCAAGAUUUCCCGUCACAUCGAAUCUUUGGUUACAUGCAUAGAGCAUUAAAUAAAGAUAAAAAUAAAAACCAAUUACACAGUUUAUCUGAAAUUUGUGAGAUGAAUCUUUGGAGCCUAGUUACUCUAUGAUUGGAUAAUGUUUGUCAAAUAAAAACGAAAGUGCUACGGUAGCCAAAAAAUCAAAAUUUUGCCAACUAAACAAGGCCAGCGUCGGUAAAAAUUAACUAAUUGCUGUCUCCUCUCCCGGCAGGUGCAGGUGCAGGGGCUGCUGGAGCAGGACAAGAAUGCGCUGUCAGGGGAGCAGUGGCGACGCAUGUGGCGAGAGGAUCAUGGUUGGUUGCUUCCUGUGGAUGCGAACCUGGCUGGGAAGGAAAACUACCGACUACCAGAAUGAUGCAACCUCGUCGGUGUCAGAUUACUGUUCCGGGCAGUUAGUUCCCUGGGCACGCCAAGUUUAAUUUUAAUCCGGUUUUUGUACCUGGCCCUUGUUUAGUUUCUAAAAAUUUUUACAAAAUUUCAUCGAAUCUUUACACACAUACAUAGAGUAUUAAAUAUAGAUGAAAAUAAAAACUAAUUACACAGUUUAGUCGGAAUUGACGAGACGAAUCUUUUAAGCCUAGUUAGUGGACAAUAUUUGUUAAAUACAAACAAAAGUGCUACAGUGUCUUCCCAACAAAUUUUAGAACUAAACAAGGCCCUGCUGACAGUGGCGGGUUACUCACCGGGAUUGACUGUAAAAGCGAAGUGACUGAUGAGCUGGUUCGCUCAUCAGCUCAGGCGGCAUGCCGGCUUCACCGGUGAUUAUCUACCCGCAAGUACAUUCCAUUAUUUUUGUUUUGUUUUGGUUUUUUUUGCUCCAAUGCCCAUGCCCACUCAUUACACUUGAUUUAUAAUAAAGUCGAAUAAGUACAUUCUCGUCACCCUCUCUUAUUCUCAACUUUAUCUUUGGAUCCACAUCUCUGGAAAACAACUUUGCCUGAUUUAAGCUGUCCACUUUACCAAAUUUUUUUAAUGUUCAUUAUAUGGAUAUAUUUUGUUUGUUGUGUGGUUAUGUGUUUGGACAGAUGCUUGGGUUGGGAACAACUUGAGCGCACCGAUGUCAAAUGGUGGGUCAAUCACAAAUCCUAAAUAAACUGUCCACAGGACCAUUUUGUAUCUAAAUUGCCAAAAAUUAUUGAGUUUUGGCUACUAAAAUAAUUCAGGGUUAAACUGUUAAAUUUUUUUCAUACGACAAAAGGCAUAUUAAUGUGAUUUUUUUAGAAGUAAAUGAAAAAAGAACAUUUAUAUAAUGUACCAUACUACUGACAUAUAGUGCUAGAAAAGUUAUUUUCAAUGCUUAUACCGUACUUAUCAUUUGUUAUUUUAAAACAUUACCAAAUACUAUAUCUUAUAAAAAGAAAGCAAGUGAAAGUCUUACUAAGAAAAUUACACGGAAAAAAUAGGGACACAAACACACUAAAAAGGAGAAAAAACAUUAGGUUAGGUGUCCGAAGGCUUGCAUCAUAAUCCCUAGCUCCUCAUUGACUAAUCCCAACAAUUUGUAAAGGUGAUCUCGCUAUUUCUUGAAAAGUUCUUUGAUUUCACUCCUUCCAACAACAACAACAACAACAACAAUACUCAUGUACAUGUCCAAUUCAUACUUAGAGGCUCAUAUUUCACUUUUUAGUUCUUUCUCCAAGCUAACGGGUAUAGAUUUGACGCUAUGUCAAUUGGUGCUUAACCAUUUAGUUAUGAUGAGUGCCAAAAAAUUUGAUUUGUCUCCUCGCCCAACAUUCGCCAUAGUCGAGGCAUGGGAAAGAGUUUUGUCCAUUUGAUUCCAUAGCGGAACAGUUCCUACCCACAGUCUUUCUGGAUUGACCCACUCAUACCAAAACAAUCUAAAUCUCAAAGGCCUUCCAAAUCUUUCCAAGAAUCCCUAGCCACUAGGUUCUUUGGUUUUGCUGCUUUUGGCCAUUGCAUCAGACAGUGGCUCCCAUUCACAUUAGGUUCCCCUUUCCAAUUAAUGGAACCCCCUCCUAGCCUUGUCAAUCUACUUUAUUGCCUAUUUGUUGAUUGGAAAGAAUGUUAUGAAGUGCAUUGAAAUUGAAGAUGUCACAAAGUUUACCACAAUAAUCCACCCAAUGCCUGUCCAAGAACUUGGUCUUCCAAUUCAGCAAUUUCACAUCCACUUUAUCUAUCAAUAGCUAUACCACCUGAACCAUCAUCAAUGACAUAGCAUUUAGAGGUAGGCUCAAAUAUUUGCAUGGAAAGGCUUUGACCUCACAUGAAUUGUCAUUCAAGAGAGCAAUUAGCUAGAGAUGAAGGAUCACAAGAAAUUGGGUAGAACACACAUUUCUAAAGAUUGCUUUACUGGACUAGAAGCCUAACCAAAGGCUGUCAAAAUCUCUAGUGUUGCACUAAACCCUUGCGUCGUUAGGUUUUAAAAUUGCCAUAUCAUCAACAUAUAGGCUCACCCUUCGCUUCACAUAUCUGUGUUGAAUUGGCUGUAGCAUGACAAGCUGCAUGGCUCUACCAAUGAGCCUCUACAUGGGGUCAAUUACCAGAACAAAUUAAAUAGUAAAGGUGUGACAGGGGAUCGCCCUACCUUAAACCUCUCCCAUGAUCAAACCAUUCACAACCAUUAAAAAGCACUAGAGGAACCUUUGUAUUGUAAUACAAGAGGGAAGAUAUACCCAAGCUUGCCACAGUGCGCCAAAUCCUAGUUAGUUUUGGUAAAACUUCUAGUAAGUAAUCUCAUCUAAUUGGAUCAAAAGCCUUCACGAUGUCUAUCUUAAAGACGUUCCACCAAAUAGACAUUCACAAGAGCGCACAUGCAUGUGCAUCGCAUUAUGAAUGCGUACAUGCAUGUACACCAUUGUUCUAAAUAGCAGACUAUAGCAGAGCUAUAAAGGCGUUAUAGCGACUCAAGCUUAGUUGCUUCUACAACAACGUUUUACUUAAUAGCGAUGCUAUAGUGAGGUAUAGUUAGUCAGUGAUUUAAAACACUAAUGCACACCAUAUUUCUAUAAGCACGUUCCAAAGAUCGAACCAAAAGAUGCGUGACAUUAAGGCCAGUCUCAGUGGGGAGUUUAAUCAUGUUGUUUCCAAGACUACCAUGUCAUGCGAAAUGAAAUAAAACUUGGAUGAAAUACUCACUCUCAAUGGAGAGUUUCAUUUUAUUGUUUCAUAGGCAUUUAAUUCCAAGACUCAUAGAGAGUUGGUAAUCGUAUCAAGAGAGUUUCAUCAUUUCUUCUCUCUCUUCUUAAAUACACCGCUAUGUCAUCAAAUAAAGUCUAUAUGACAACCUGUUUAAUGCAAAUGAAACUCAUAUAAAACUCCUAUUGAGACUGGUCUAAUGAAGUCUACAUGCAUAUAUAUAUAUAUAUUGCCCAAGAAAUUGUAUUCUUAAACAGAGGACAGCUUCGAAUUGUCUACCAUGAUUUAGUAUCACUUUGCUCUCCGGGAAUUCAUUCGUAAUCCUAUGGUCUGUCGAUAAACUCCGGACCCUGUUUGGAAUGCAGGAAAUUUUUUCAUGCGAAGUUUUUACAUCCAAUUGAGGUCUCAAGAGAUGAAAUAAUUGAGCAGAGAAGUAACCGACAUAUAUUUCGAGAGAGAUAGUAUAACAAGGAUCAAGGAGCGAGAUGAACGAAAGCGAGGGCGAGCACACAUCAAGGUUGGUUCGUCUUAAUGACACGGACGAAAAUCGAGCACACGGAUAGGUCAUGGUCAUCAUCUACGACACUAUUUAUGUCACUUUUCCCUUUCUUGAAAACUGAGCAUGGCAUGCUUGUUCCUCACCGGCUGACCGCGUCAACAACACUUCCUUGCCCCAUCCAAGCUGUUCUUCUCGUCAUCAGCUGGGAGAAGGAGCCUGGGAAACUUCUACCCCACCUUGCAAACUGAAACAGCAGCUAGCAGUGUACAACUUUUUCUGUGUCGUUUGAGAGUGUGCUUUCGUGACCACGAGUUGGAAGAGCAUAUAUAUGUGCAUGCAUGCAAAGCUAUAGUUACUAUACUACGUCUAUACCGUACCCAAAGCAAAAGAAAACAGACACAAAUAACAUAGGUUUAGCAUGGGCAUGGACUAGUAGCUAGGCCCAUAUUGCUAAUUGCUACUCUAGGUAUUAGGUGCGUGUGGACUCUACAGUAGUCUACACAAUGGAUCAGAGGUAGAUAUAUAUAAGUAUAUGGAAUGGGAUGCAUAUGAUACGAUUUGGUGUAGUGUUAGUGACAGUUUAAGCGAGAAGGAUGGACGAGUGUGUGUGUGUGUGUGUGUGUGAGACAAUGUGACUGCUGGGUCGUCGUUAGUUGGAGACUCGUGCAAGAAACGUCCGUCCGAACGGGCCAGCUCAGCCGAUGGCUAAUAACGAGCUACCUGGCUGUUAUCAACUCCGAUCCAUUCAGGUUCCCCAUGCCAGGAACUAACCUGCCAGUACUACUUUACUAGCUAGUAGCUUUUAAAUGGCAGCUGCAAACAGUCCUAAGAGCAAGUUCAAUAUAUAAGUUGAGACAAGUGUUAAUCUAUAAGACAAAUUAUAAUAGAUACAUUAUACAAUAAUAGUCUUUUUCUUGUCUACAACUAUUUAAUAUAUAAUUCUUUAUACUAAUAUGGUGAUGGUCCCACCAUUUACUCUCUUUCCUACCCUCCUCAUCACGAUUACUAUUGUACUUGCUCUAAUUGCCAAUUAACUUGCAUGCGGCGUAGUAGCGAAAACAAACAGACGUCCGUUCAUUUAGCUGAUAAGCAAUAUUAGAAAAUGCUCUUAGCUGAUUUGUUGUGAAAAAAUAUUAUUAUAUGAUAACAAAUUCGACUAAUAAAUUCAAACGAACCUGAAAAUCAGAUAGGAAUCUUGCAACGUGUGGCUGAGGCACGCGUGGCUCAAUGUACCGUACGGAUGGAUGAUUUUGAAUACAAGGGCAUAUCUGCACGCCAAGCGGGAAGGCAGGCGCAUGACGACGCUACUAGCUUUAUAUACGUGUGUGUCUCCUUUAUCUAGGUGUUUGGUGGACCACCAUAUAUAUCAUCACCAUAGCCGACGUACGACGAGUCUAAGACGACCCAAGAAUCAUGCAUGCACAAAGCAUUGGCUUAUUAUACCAAAGAGCGGCUUAUAUCAGCUCGUUGCCUUUAAUUUUCAAAUUCAAACAUGUCUACUAUAGUUCGUUAUUUGUCUUAGAGACAUUAGGAUAUGUGUGAUGACUGACGACACGACACACAUUCAACUCUUGUCCUAUGAAAUUUGACAUAUGAGACACGUCAGCUAUAUAUAUUCCCGAAUACAUAAUCGGGAUUCAGGUACGUGAUCUCUUCUCUGUCCAAUUCCCUAAUCCCUAAUCUGUCCAAUUCUCUAUUUUAUGAAGUUGCAGUUAAUAAUUGUUUAUCUAAUUUUAACAUGAUCAUUUCAUAUGUUUAUGGCAAUGACAAAAGAAAGAAGGAAACAUGAAUAGAUGAUUUAAACAAUCACAGAGAGAGGCUCUACAUAAUGUGAGUUAUCUUGAGUAUGUUGUUGGGGACUCAACCACGCCUCCCCCCAGCUGCAUUGGGAGUAAAAGAACUCAGCCCGGUCUCGAUCACCUAGCCUUCGUCCUCGUAACCUUCGUACAAUAAGGACCGAAGGUUCAGUAAAAGUUAACGCUAAUACGGUUUGACUUUGUAAGACAGGUGUUUAGAAAUCGGCCCGGCGCAGAGGACCACUAUUGAUUGCUCAUCCCUCGGUCACUACUCGCGAAGGUUGCGGAGCCCCAGACAAGGGCGAAGCAAGGGAUCUCCUGACGAUGGGAGCUGAUCCUUUGGCAUAUGGGCGGCGAAGGAUCCGCAAGCUUCGGUGAGGGCCGGGCGAAGGAUGAAGCGACGCGAGGAUCAAAGUCCUAAUGUAACAACCUCUAAAAUGUUCUUGAUUAGGGAUUACCUGAGUGCUCUUGUGGUCCGUACACCGUGGUGGCAACCAAUUUGAUGGUAACCGUAUUAGACCCGGAGAUUCCACUACUAUUAUACGUAGCAGCCUCCGAACAUAUAGUUAGCGCGGUCUUGGUACACGAGAAGCAGGAAGAGAACACAAUCCUAGAGAGGCCCGUUUACUAUGUCCCUGAAGCUUUGUCAGGGCCAAAACUAAACUAUAUGAAAAUUGAGAAAAUCGCCUACGCGGUAUUAACCGCCUCAAGAAAGCUGAAGCAUUAUUUUCAUAGUCAUGAGAUCAAGGUCCCAACAUCACAACCCUUGGGGGAUAUCCUCAGGAACAAGGAAGCCUCUAGAAGAAUAGGCAAAUGGGCCACCAAAUUGUCUCAGUUUGACAUCACGUAUGUCCCCGGAACCACAAUCAAAUCGCAAGCACUAGCAGAUUUUAUGGCCGAUUGGAUACCUUUGGCGCGAGCGGAUGCGAAGGAAAAUCACCAAACAUGGACCCUAUUCAUAGAUGGAGCAUGGGGACAAGCAGGUGCAGGAGCUUUGGUAGUUUUAAUCGCCCCGUCUGGCUUAAAGUCAAAAUACGCAACAAGAUUAGAAUUUAAGGCAACAAACAAUAUAGCAGAGUGUGAGGGACUCAUCCUGGGACUAAACAAAGCGAAGGCAACAGGAGAAAAAACCCUAUUAAUCAACACAGACUCCCAGAUCGUAGCCGAGCUGGUCGAAAAAGAAUAUCUAGCUCACAACUAAGAACUGACGAAAUAUCUGGUAGUGGUAAGGAGACUUGAAUGAAGGUUCAAGGGAUUCAUGCUCCGCCAUGUUCCAUGAUCUGAAAACCAUGAAGCAGACGAAUUAGCGAAGGCUGCAGCAAACAACUUGCCCAUCUCACGAGAGACCUUCUAUCAGGUUCUCAAGUUGCCUACGAUAGAGUCUAUGCCAAAGGCAUUCCGCAAAGUGUUACUUGCAGAAGACGAGGACUGGAGGCAAGCAAUCAUAGAUGCCGUGAACAACAAGGCAAGCACAGAGGAUGAGGUGGCAGCCAGAAGAAUGGAGGCAAGGGCAAGAAAUUACACCAUUAUUGAAGGAAAUCUGUAUAAGAAAGGUGUAGUCCAACCCUUGCUAAAGUGCAUAUCUCAAGAAGGCAAGGAGCUCCUAAAAGAAACACAUGAAAGCAUGUGUGGCUCUCACAUAGGGCCACGAGCACUAUCAGCAAAGUCCAUAAGACAUGGAUUCUAUUGGCCAACACACAUCAAGGACACAAAGCACAUUGCAAGAACCUACGAAGCAUGCCAGAGCUUCGCACCACAUUAGUAAACCCCUUAGCAUACACACAGCCCAUAGCACCAACUUGGCCCUUGUGAAGAUGGGGGAUGGACUUGGUAGGUCUUUUGCCAACGGCACAGGGGGGAAACAGGUUCGCUGUUGUUGCAAUAGAAUACUUCACUAGAUGGAUCAAAGCAAAACCACUAGCGAUAAUCACUUCAGAAACAAUGAAGAAGUUCUUCUGGUAGAACAUCGUGUGCAGAUUUAGAGUCCCAAGCUUGUUGAUGGUGGACAACAGAAAACAAUUUGAUUUAGAAAAAUUCAGAUAGUUCUGCCAAAGCAUAGGAACUAAGAUUGCCUUUGCUUCAGUCUAUUACCCAGAAUCAAAUGGAGCAGUAGAAAGAGCAAAUAGGAUAGUAUUCUCUGCAAUUUCCAAUACACUGUUCAACCUCCGCAAAGGAAAAUAGAUAGAAGAACUACCAAAAGUUGUGUGGUCACACAACACGACCACCUCAAGAGCCACAGGGUUCACCCAUUUCAAACUCCUGUACAGCGAGGAAGUGAUGCUCCCGAAGGAAGCCAAGCAUCAAAGCCUCCACACCAUGAAGCAAUUACUAGCCGAAGAUGAAGGCUAUUGCAAAGAAACAGUCAAAGGAGCAAGGCUAGAAGCUAUGGAAAAUAUCAGCAAGUUCCAGCAAGAGGCCAAAAGAUGGAGGGACCAAAAUGUCGUAAGAAAGAACAUACAAGACGGGGACUUAGUCCUCAGGAGAAAAUAAAAUUCAACAGGCGUAGGCAAGCUUCAACAAAAGUCGGAAGGACCCUACACGGUGAAGCAAGCAGGAAAACUAGGCUCAUUCCACCUAUACGACCAUGAAGGAAAAGCCUCCGCACACACAUGGAACGUAGACAACCUACACAGAUUUUACAUGUGAAUGUAAGGCUAGCCUUUGCAAAAUUAUAAGCAAAGGCGACCAAACUUACCAUUCUCUCUAGGAUCUAUUUUUGUUUUUACUUUUCAUACAAGGACUGCACUCUUUGUCUCACAGCGGUACUCCUAGCGAAGGUAAGGUUUUUAAUGAGGCAGAACCUAUGUAAAACCCUCUAGAAUAUAAAGAGGAAUUACCCCACAAAAAAAUCAUAAGACAUUAGAAGUCGAAAAUGGCCAGCAACGGGGCCACAAUAUUCGACAAAAAAGCAUUACGCAAAAUGAGGACCCUCCGCAGCAUAAAGUUGAAGGCUCAAAAUGCUCAAUAGUGAAAAAACACCAAGGCCUUCGCAAAAGACCUGGCAAAAAACCAGGCAGCAAGGUCAACCCAGUCAAAAAUGACAAAACACCCAAUCCUAACAAAGACCUAACGAAACCUCAGGCUUCAGGACGCGCAAAUAGAAUUUUGCAAUGUAGCUCCGCAAAAGACGUCGAAGGAUGCCAAAACCUAGGCAAAAUGUUAAUGCCAAAAGCAAGCAUAAAAUUAAUAAGCACUUGAUAGCUUCAACAACCACAACCACCAAAGUAUGCCCGACAAUAAUGCCUCAACUAACAAAGUACACGUAGUCAAAUAAGCAACCACUAUAAUACCAAACACCCCAGCAACGUAAACCUCAGUCAGGAGGAAGCUAUCACAAAUUAGACACAUAGCCCGAGCACCAAAAGCGUGAAAGCAAGAAACAAUUCAAGCAUGGAGGCAGGAGUGAGCUUAUCUAGUAGCACCACUACUAGUAUAGCAUGAAGACUCGUAAUAGGUAGACCUAGAGAAGGAGCAAUGAAACCCAAGGGCAGAGCACGCUACCCACGACACUGUGAUGAACAGUUGCCACAGGGUUGUGUACAACUCCAACAACAACAAUGCAUGCAAGUAUCAAAGGUUACGAAAGGGUAUUGCAUGAAGUCUCGUAACAUCCCCCGCAACCGAGAAAACAUCAUCGCGAAGGUCAGCCUCACCAAUAUUUUUUUUGAUGGGAGCAACUUGCUAAUGCCAACAAGAGCAAGCCAGCAAAGGCACCCAACAAGAUAAGGCUCCGCAAGCACAAGAACCCCAAAAAAGCCAACCUUCGCAUGACUAAGACCAACCAACGCCUUCGCAACAUCUAAUGCCAAUCACGGCACGACUACAACAACGCAAAGAUCCUUAGGGUCAACACCACAGUGACACGCAGGUUCGGCCACGCAACAAGCUGAUUAGCUAAAUAUAGAGGAGGAAAAUACAAAGUAGUUGCAAGCACCAAAAGUGUAAUAAGAUGUCUCAUCCAAAAUCAAGCUUUAUUCAUAUUAACAAUGACCACAAGCGCCAUUACAUCAAGAAAAGAAGGAAACAAAGUUAAAAUUACAAAUUUAAUCAUAAUCCUCAAAACUAAAACCUUCAUCACUUAAACGAUGAAGGAUUCAACUAUCACGAAUAAUUCUAACGUUGUUUAAAGGACCAAAGAUUUGUAUGUAACUGUAGUAGCCACGGGUGACAAACUCAACCAAGUCAUCCACCGAGCACAAAGGAAACUCGCAACGCCACCAAUCCAAAAUCCACCUAUUGAUGUAAAGAUCUACCCGCUUCAGAGUCUCAGGAGACACAUAUCUUGCAGAAUAAGAUAAAGUAGAUCCCUGUUGGAAAUCUUGUGUAGAAGCACCAUGCAAAGGCCUAGGAAGAGCAAUAUGAAAAACAAAAAAAGAAGGAAGCCCAGUAUAGAACACACCGUUAUACACGUCAAAACCCUAAUCUUCACGCUGAAAUCACCAACCUCUGGGCGACCAGGAAGGUAAAGCUCUGCCAUAAGGUCGAAAUCCUUUGGCAAAUAAGGCAAAAAUCCUUCAUCGUCUAGCAUAACAAAAUGCAAAGCAAAUCCCUCCACAUCAUCGCGUGGAACAGGCUCGCCAAAAACUCACAAAUGUGGGUAUGAAGGCUUCGCCAAAGAAAUAAGCACAAUUUAAGCCUAACCAAACAACAAUAAAAAUGAAAAAUGACAAAAAAAGAACAACCUAGGAUGGAGGCUAGGUUCCAUGGUGCGCAAGUGAACGAACAAAUUCCGAUCGCUCAUUGUCAAUAUCGAACUCAAUAAACUCAAACAUGUCUACAACGUCGCGAGAAGGGAAAGCAACUCACCAAUAUUCGUUGAACUCCGCCUUAACAAAAAUUACAUUAUAGAAAAAAGACAAUGGAACGACAUCACACACCUCCUGCGUAGGUCCUCCGUCAGAGACCUACACAGGGAAAAGCACAAAUACAACUUUAAUGAACAAAGGUAAAUAGAAAUAAGCAUAAGACAAUAAUCUCUAUACAAAAGCAAGACACAAGACAACGUAGUUUUUUACAAACGUCAUACUGACGCCUAAACCUAGCCUAACAAACCCUCACACCUAAGGAGAGGCGGGCCUAUCCAAAGGACUGGUCUCCUUCGACUCAUCAGCAGCGCGACCUUCACCAUCGAAGCCCUUACUCUUCGCCUUCGAGCUAACGGCCGGAGGAGCAUCGAGGCUUAGAGCAGUCGACUUGCCCGCUGCUUCAGCCUUUGCCUUCCGCUUCUCAGCCUCCUGCCAACCAAGUCAAACUCAAUCACCAAAAGAACCAAAAAAACCCAAAAAUAACUAACC